UUAAUAUUAAGUCAAUGAUGUCGAAAAUAUGAAAUUUAAUUUUAAAUGCUGCAAGUGAUAUAGAUGAUGUUUAACGGUGCUAAUCCCUUAAACCUUAACCUUAACCCUAAACUUUUUUUUUUUUAAAUCCCCGGGGUCUGGAUGCUCCACGCCUGUAGCUUAAUUCAUCUUUCCAAUGAAUGAAGUAGUAGCAUGUUACUCUUUUCUCAAAAACAAGCUUCAUAAUAAAAAUAAAUUGAUUGACAACCGAGCUCAUUUACUACUGAUAAUAUUUCAACUCAACUCUCUCUUUCUCUCUUUCUCUCUUUCUAUAUAUAUAUAUAUAAUAUAUAUUAUAUAAAAGUUUUGUUUUGAUUCAAAUCUACAUGGACCCAAGAAUGUGAAUAUAUUUAUAUGGCGAGUUGAAUAAUUGUGGGCCGCGAAUUCCAUAUAAAAGGGUCCAAGUAUGGUUAUUUCAAAUUGACAUAAAAAAAGCCCAGAACAUAGCAAAUUAUAAAAAAAAAAACACAUGCACAAGCAAAUAUUUAUUAUAAAUAGGGAAAAUUUCACACAGUACCCUUCUUGGAGAAUCAUAUAUCAUAGAUGCCCCUCUAAAUUAAAAAUAUCGUCAAUGCCGCCUCUAAAUAUGAAAAUACUCAUGAAUGCCCUUAGGUAAAUAAUCCAUGAAAAACAUCAUCCAUUAUUUUUUAAUGCCAUUUUUGCCCCUAAUAUCAAUUUAACGAAAGCAUAAAAAUUUAAAGUUAUUUAAAUGAUUGGUUCUAAAUUUUGAACUGUAUAUUAACUAAAUUUUACUUUUUAAAUUUUAAAUAAAAUAUUAUAAUUUACUAAAUAUAAAAUGCUCCUUUUAUUUUUUCGCUAUAAAUUAUAUAGUUUAUAUAAUAUAUAACUGUCAUAUUAGUAUUCAAUAUUACUCAAGAGCUAAUAAUUAUUAAUUCUAUUUAAUAUAAUAAUUUACAUACAUUACACAAAAAAAAAAUUAGAUAGCCAAAAUUCUUGAUAGUAUCAAUUGAAUUCAUAUAAAAUGUAUUUUCUACAAUAAAUAAAAGUGUGGUAAAUUUCUUUCACCUAUAGGCCAUUUGAGCAAAGGGGGAACUUUUUUUUUUUUUGCUUUUUUCUGUUUCUUUUCUUAUCCGACUUUCUCCACGUCUCGACGAGAUGCCUCUCUCGUGCUUUCUGUCUUUCCCGCCCUUCUCAUCUCUUCCCUCUCCUCAUUCUCUUGCGCCUCCGACGACGAUGCUUUUCGCGGGCGCCGACGUCGACACGUGGAGGUCACUGUUGGCUUUAAAGGCUCGGAGCGGAAGGUCCUUAGCGGUGCUCGUCGCCCACGGCACCAGUGAGCUAGUUGGGCAGAGAAGGUGACAAAAAAAAAUUAUAGAAAAAACAGAAAAAAAAAAAAUAAUAGAUAAAAAUUGUAGUAUAAAAGAAUGAUGAAUAUCACUGUAUAUCGUUAACUGCAAAAAAAAUUAUGAAGUCUGCCAACUAUUUAGAUGUAAACUGUGUCUUUAAGAUGAAAUACGAUCUUAUAAACGGAAUUACAAUCUCUUUUGAAAAAAUUUUACACAUAUUUAUUCUUUUUUAUUUACCUCUUUCAGUUAUGUAACUGCAUCAAUUAGCAUGAGAAGUUACACUCUCUAACAAAAGUUGCACUGUUUUCCUCUUUGUUGCACCAUUUUCUUUCUCUUGUUCACUAUUUUUUAUCUUAAAUGCACACUUUUCUAGAAAUAUCAUACUGUUUUCCUCUUAUUGCACCUUUUGUGUAAAUAAGAGGGGAAAUAGUCAUGCAACAAGAGAGAGAAACAGUGACAAGAAAGAGAGACGAAACUGCCUAUUUUAAGAGAUAUUAUACUGUUUUCUCUUGUUGCACAUUUCUGUGGAAGAAGCAGAGGAGAAAUGAUGCAACAAGAAGGAAACUGACACUGUUUUAAGAGUAUAUUACUGUUUUUUCUUUGGUUGCAUGUUUUCCUCUUGUUGCAUCAUUUCUGUGUAAACAAUAGGAGAAUGUGCAACUAGAGGGAUUAAACAUGCAAUAGAGCGAGAAUGCACAUUUUUUAAGAAGAUUAUUUAUGACUGUUUAUCCUCAUUAUGUGCCACCAUUUCUGAUGUAAAUAAGAGGGAGAAAUAGUGUAAACAAGAAGAAAAGUGCAACAAAGAGAGGAGAAACAGUAUAAAUAUCACUUAAAAGGAUGCAGUUUAAGAUAAAAAAUAGUAUAAUUUUCGUUCAAAGAGUAUAAUUUUUAUCUUAAAGCAGCAGUUUACAUCUUAAAUAGUGCAACUUAUAAUUUUUUUUGUAAUUAACGAUGUAAUUUCAUCUUCAUCCUUCUUUUUAUAUAAUUUUUUAUCUUUAUUAUUUUUUUCUGUUUUUUCUAUAAUUUUUUUGUCACCUUCUCUGCCAACAGCUACGGCGCCGGUGACGACGCCGCUAAGGACCCCCCGCUCCGAGGCUGUAGCGCCGCAGUGACCUCUACGGUGUCGACGUCGGAGCCGGCGAAAAUAAAUCGUCGUCGGAGGCGGCAGAAAAUGAGGGAGAGGGAGAGAUGAGAAGGACGCGGAAGGGCGACAGGCGUCGUCGUCGGAGACGGUGGAGAAGAGUCGGAGAAGAAAAGAAAAGAAAAAAGCAAAAAAAAAAAAGUCGCGGCGCGGCCUUAACGGGGUCGGAGGCGAGGAAGGUGGGGGGUGCAUGGACGAGGGCAAGGGCGAGGGCGAGAGCAUGAGGGUGAGAGGCGAGACGGACCGUUUCUGCCUCCGCUCCGCCUCCGCUCUACCGGCGAGAAAAAAAAAAAAGAACGAGAAAAACGAAGAAGAGAGAGAAAGAGGAAAGAAAAAAAAGUAAUAAUGGUAUUUUGGUCAGUUUGCUGAAAAAGCAGACCGAAUCUGCAAAAAUGAAAAAGGUGGCCCGAUUUUGCAAAAAUCCAAAAUAAGUGGAUUUUUUAUGCAAAUUCGCCAAAAAAGAAUUCUAACAAGUUGGUUUGCAAAAUCAAAUGUUUGAAAGAUUAAGUAACUUCAUUUAUUUAUUUAUUUAUUUUAUUUAAUUAUAAAAGGGAAUUAUUCGGGGGAAUACUUAAUCGCUUCCCUCCGAAUACCCGAACCAUUUCGCCCUCUCUAAACCCUCUUUCUCUCUCUCUCUCUCUCUCUCUCUCUCUUUCGAUCUCGAUCUCUCCUCCGUCCCCGCGAAUAUGCUCCGAAUCCCUGAGACGGCCGUGUGCAAUAAAGCGCGCGACCAAACCCUAGCCCCGAAAUGGAGGGGGAGAGGAGGGCGAGGAGUUGGAGGAGGAGGAGGAGGAGAUUGGGCUCGCACCAUCGAUGCGCGGGGCAGGGGGGGCGGAGGCGAUGGAGGAGAGGGAGCGGGAGCGGGGGUGGGGGCGGGAGAGGCCGCCGACGCCGUACGCGCGGCCGCCGCCGCAGGUGGUGGUGGCGGCGUACGACGCCACCAGGGAGCACAACGAGCACGAGCUCCGCCUCGCCGUGAGCGGCGUGCUCCUGCGCGGCGACAUCCUCCGCGGCGGCGACACCCUCCUCGUCCUCGGCGUCCUCCACACCGUCACCAACCCCAGUGAGCCUUCGCCUCUCACUCCCCUCCCCUCUCCUCUCCUCUCCUCUCCUCUUCUUCGCUUUCGCUUCUUUGUGGCCUUUAGAAUGGAAGUAGUUGGUGUUCGAUAUGGUGGUGUUUGGUUUCACGAGAGAUUAAUGGAAACAUAUUUCAAGGAAAAAAACAGAGAAACUUUUGAUGAAAAAGAAAUUUUACGUUCAUUGGUGUUUAAUUUGGAUUAAAAAGAUUAUAAUUUUUGAGGCAUGUUAGUUUGCUAUGGUUUGAGUAAGGAAAUAAAUAAAGAGUAAGAGCAAUAAAGAGAGAGGGAGAGAGGGAGGUGUUUUUAGUUUUCAAUUUACGUGCUUUUUUUGACAAAAAAAAAUAUAGAAAAUAAAAAUGGGUGCAAAACCAUUUGUUACUUGAAAUGUAUUUUACCUGGAACUAAAUACUUGGAAAACGCAUUUUUCGGCCCGAAAACCAUUUCUGGACCUGUUUUACGUGCUACCAGAUAACUCCUAAAUGAAAAGUCUGAAACUUUACAAAGUUAUUGGCGGAAUUUUGGUUGAAAAGCUCAACAAGUGCUUAUUUGAAGCAGAGCAGUUAGUUGAUCCGUUAGUCAAAGAUCGCAACUUGUUAGUGGAAAUCAAUGACAUUCUGUAUUUUUUGAGUUCCCAUUCUCGAGAUUAAAAUUUCUCGAAAUUUGAGAAUGUUUUCAAUGAAUAAGCGUAAGCAAGCUGGUGAUUUGGAUGAUUCCCCUGUUCCAGAUGGGAUCGAGAAUGGAUAGUUGAUAAACGAUAAUUACUCAUGCAACUUAUAAUUGCUGACAUUGCAGACAUCUUUUUUCUUUUUUGGUUGCUUGUUUUAGUGGGUUACCAUACAAAAGCAUGCACCGAUUCGUUUGCGGGUACAAGUUCUCGCUAUCUGGAUGAGGAGGUAUUAAAGAAGGUCGAAUUUUACGAGAGUAGGCUUCUCGAUAGUGCUGAGAAGUGCAAAGAAGUGGGGGUAAUAUGAAUUUUAUGCUCUGUUGUUUUCUCCUUUUCUGACUCUUUCCAUUGAUUUGUGAAAAUGUUCUUUUUCCUUGAUGCUCUCUGCUUGAAUUUGAUUGAUGAAGUAUUAUGUUAGAUUUUGUGUUAUCAUUCCUUCAGCAUGAGCAAACGAUGGUGUGGUAUUUCUUAAAUCUACACAUUUUCAUAUAUUUUAUAUUAUAUUAUCCUCAGAUCAGGUAGGGCAUAAAUCUAUUUCGAUAUUCACUUCAUAGAAUUUUUACACUCCUGUGUCUUCUUUUCUUUUCUAUUUCUAGCUACGUGACUUUUAAAUCAUAAGAUUGUGCAAGUAAAUUUUUUAUGGGUUAUUGGUAUAAUUAAGCUCUAAAUUUUUCCAUGUUAUAUUUGCAGGUAACCUUGAAAGUCAAAAUCACUGCUGGAACACCAACAAAAAUGGUUGUACUGCAAGAAGUGUUUUCUAGCAAAGCUUCAUGGGUUAUACUGGAUAGGUUUGCUAAUUACUGAUGCAUCUUUUACCAUCUAAAAUUAGUCUAUCACUCUAUCCUCCAAGUAACUAGUGUAAAGUAUAAUUUCAAUAUAUAGAUAUUUCUGUAUGACUGCUUAUGUUGUUUGCAGCUUUAUGAAAAUAGCAACAAGGUGCUCUUGCUAAAUGCGUAAAUAAAAGUAUUACCAUAUAAUUUCAUCCGAUAUUAAUCAAUUUAACCUAAGUAACGAAGUAGCAGAUGGAGGUCAUGUUUGGAGUGGAUUGUCCUUUGUGUCAAAAAUUGCAAUAGAAAUUGGAAAAAGUGAAAAGAGAGAUGGAAAGAGGAUGUUCCAUGAGAAAAAAGAAGAAUGGGGUUGUUGGAGUCUCACUACUGGGUCAUACAGCUUGAGUGCGGUAGAGACUAGUUGUAAUCAAUAUAAAUUUGGAUGAUUUAACAGAAACAAGCAUUAUACUGAGGGAUUCAAUUGUGUUUACCUCAUACUCUGGAAAAUACACAAUUUUGCUUUACUACGACUUCUAAAGUGCAGCCAUCACUUUGGCUGAUUAAGCAGGUAGUGGCCACGGUGGCCUAGCUAGAGAAGAACCUAAGUAGAUAUCUAAAUGCUAUGAAUAAAAGAUAUGCUAUAAUUUCUUGAAUAAUACUGUAAUGUUUAUUUGAGGUUAAACCUACAAAAAGUUAUUUCUUAUCUAAAGCUUAUACAGAAUCAAUACCCCACAUUUCAUGUCUAUCUCAGUUAGUUUUAGUGUUCUCAUUCAUAAAAGUCAAAAUUGGACAACAAUAUGUUUUUUAUUAUCUUAUCCUUUCACUUUCAAGUUUCAAUUUUCUUAUAUAUUCUUUAACACACUUUAUUAUGAGAAUAAAUGAUGCUUUUAUGUCCGCUAGUAGUUAAGAUUUUCAAGGUUCUUGGUGCAUACCUAGAACUGCUGAAAAUAUUUUGACGUCCUAUUGUGGACCUCUUUUCCAUGUUAAAGGAUGCAUCUGAAUGCUGAAAACAUGUGUACGCAUUAUUAUUGGCAUACAUAAUGGGCAUUUGGUUCAACAGGCACUUAAGGAGAGAUCUUAAAUUUUAUGAGAAGCAUGUACCUUGCAAGGUUGCAUUAAUUCAAGACAGUUUAUCUGUGGAAUUGCUGAAGCCAUUUCACACAAAUGCCUCGAGAAAAGUUGUCUCAGAACAUAUGGCCUUUUGUUCCAAGGAUAGGUUUGUUCAGACAAAUUCAGACGAAGUGGAGAACGCAAAUUGUAAGCGGUCUAUUAUAUCUUCUGUGAGUUAUUUUGCUUCUCUCAGCUCUCAAGAUAGUUCUGAUAUCCUUGGCGGGAGUAUGACAUCUUCAUCCAGCUUAAGGUCUCAGAAUCAGAGUGUUAUAUCAUACGAGGAGAGCCAAUCAUCUAAGCAACUUGGUAUGCUUUGCAUGUUAAUUUAGAUUCUUGAAUUUAUACAAAUAUGUUAUAAUUUGAGUUGAACCAUUCGAGUUUCAUUUUGAUGCAUAAUUUAUGUCAUGAUAUCCUUGUUCUUAUAAGUUGAUUUCUUUUGGGCACCUACUCAAAUCCAAAUUGUUCUUUUUAGAUGUCAAGAAUAGAGACUUAAAUAUCUGAUUAUUGUGUUUCAUUACGUAAGCUGUAACUUUAACUAGUAAGCAUUAUUCAUCUCCUUGUAUUUGGUAUAUUGAUCUUUUACAAAUCGUCUAAAUCAGGACUUCUUUGAUAUGACUGCUUAUUUCUAUGUUCCUUUCACAUCUUCUAUAUUGUUGAUCUUGCUUUUUCUUUGAAAAUGGGAAAUUAAGCUUUCUUUCGUCUUUACUGGAAGUUCAUGCAUUCAUUUAAUCAAGUUUGAAGGUCUUUAUCAUUUAGUAUUUUUGUAACGUAACAUGAUUAUGGUGAAUCCAUAUAUGUCUUGAAGUGUAGAACAUACUUUUGUUUCAUCUAUGUUUUGUCAAUUUUGAAGCUGCGUUGAGUACUAUUUUUUUUUUUUGACAGAACGAUAGCGUGCUACCCGCUUUGUUCAUUUUUUUUAGAAAUGAUCUUAGUUAGUUGGAAAUGUGAAGCAAAUAGGCUUUGAACUUGGGAUCUCGGGUACCAACUAUCAAGCCCUUUGCCAGUUGCAUUAGAGACGGUCGGUGUGCUAAUUUCAAUUUAGUGAGGCCUUAUAAUAUUUAAGAAUCUUCUCUUGUGCUUGCAUACUGUUGAAGAAUGUGAAAUAACCAUUGUUCUCCAGAAGCCUAAGCUAAAAAAGAACGGUGUUUUGGAUAUUUAUGUUCAACACUCCUCAUCAUGUCUGGGCUUGAGAUUUGAUAGGCCCAGGAAUUCAAGAUAUUAAACUGAACUAAAUGAGAGGAAAUUAAAAGGAGCUUGAUAGGGCUCAAACUCAGGACCUCCUGCAUCUAUACCAUGUUAAAAAAUGUGAAAAAACCAUUGUUCUCCAGAGUCCAGAAGCUAAACCUACUGAAGAACAGUGUUUUCAAUAUUUAUACAUCUUGAGCCCUAUUUCUAGGGUAGACUAUUGAUGUACUAAGCAAAACAGUAGGUAUUUUGUUCGAGAUGAUUUUACAUGAGGAUAUGAUAAACACAUAGGUCUAUCAGUAUUGGUUAGGUUGGUGUUAAAUCUGUUCCAUUCCUUGUAGAAGUUGCAUUAUCUUUUUCUCUUUAGUCUUAUACACAUCAGUUAAUGUCUAUGAGAAUGAAGCACUGGCAACAGAAUAGAAUUAGUUGUUUUUCAUUAUUAGCCUUGACCUCUUAGAAGUCCUUAUACAUAGAUCAUUAAAGACACUGAACAAGUGAAUUUUCGAUUUAGGAAUGGAGGAAAGUGGUGCUAAUUGAAGUCUCAAUCAUGUAAAUUUUCUUCCCUGGAACUGCUCAUUUAACUAAUACUGAUUUUUGCAGGGAAAUAUCCCGAUGGAGACCAUAAGAUAACUUAUGGUUCGCAGAGCCUGCGAAGCCAAGAUAGCUUCGCAUUCCAAUAUGAUUCAUUAGAAAAGCCAAUUCUUUGUGCAGUUUGUGGGCUGAGAUCAAUACUUUACAUCAAGGAGUCUAUGAAAUUCCGGUUUUCAGAGAUUCAAGCCGCAACUUCCAACUUUUCUGAAGAGAAUUUGUUAGGAGAAGGUGGAUUUGGUCAUGUAUACAAAGGCCAACUUAAAGAUGGGCAAAUGAUUGCAGCUAAAUUAAGGAAAGAAGCAAGUACUCAAGGAUAUUCAGAGUUCUUUUCUGAAGUGCAUGUACUUAGCUUUGCGAGGCACCGGAAUAUUGUCAUGCUGCUCGGUUACUGCUGUAAAGAGAACUAUAAUAUUUUGGUGUAUGAAUAUAUCUGCAACAAAUCUCUUGAGUGGCAUUUGUUUAGUAAGUAAUCUCAAAAGUGCAUGUAUUCUUUUUUCCUUUUUGUAGCUUGGAUAGGCAUAUGCUCGUAUAGAGUUGCUUCACCUGCAAUAUUAUGUUUAGAAUUUUAUGUUUCUCUGCAAAAUCGUCUAAUUACAUAUGCCCUGAAAAAUCCGAAUUCUUUUAUAUUUCCUUUGAAGGUGUUUUCUCUCACAAAAAUAUGCAUUUAUAAGUUGCCGAAUAAUCCAAUUCACGGGCGGAAGUUGGUUUUUAUAGUUCGUAAAGAUGGCGUUUCAGUAAGUUUCUGUAUGGCAUAUAUGAAAAUUCAGAUUUUGCAGGGGUAUAGAUAUAAAUCAUUAUAUAUAUAUAUAUAUAUAGAGAGAGAGAGAGAGAGAGAGAGAGAGAGAGAGAGAGAGAGAGAGAGCUAGGUUGGUAUACUAUUGGUAGCACGGAGGCUUCUCCGUGCUACCAAUUUGUUUUUUUUAAUGCUUAUUCUCAUUUAUCAUUUGAUAAAUAGGUGAAUCUGCAGACUUGCUGGAGUGGCAUAAGAGGCAUGCUGUUGCUGUUGGAAUAGCAAAAGGAUUGCGUUUCUUACACGAAGAGUGUCGUGCUGGUCCUAUAAUUCACCGAGACUUGCGUCCAAGCAAUAUACUGCUGACCCAUGACUUUGUCCCUAUGGUGAACUUUUUUAUUUUCUUCAUGUUAGUUUAGUGUUAGCAUAUCUAUAUUUGAAAUUUUCAAUAUUUGAAAUUUCCGUAGUCACAUGCGCUGUAGUUAGGCUGACAAAGGUUUGUUAGUUGGCCGAAGACAAAGUGGCUUUAUUUAUGUGCUAAUUUCAGAAUUUUAUAUGUGAGAGCUGUGAGAUAUGUUAUUCUUAGAUAUUAGCGAACACUAGAAAAACCUUAAAGAGUAAUUUGAUGAAUUUUUUUGCUUUUCACAGCUUGGGGACUUCGGCCUUGCAAAAUGGAAGACCAACAACGAUUCGUUCCAGACAAGAGUACUGGGGUCGACGGGGUUGGAAACUUAUCCAUAAGUCUUGUCAUGUGCCUUUCUUUAAUGGGGCAAAAACACUUGCCUGCACCCAGUGCGCCACUUCAGCCCAUGGACUGCAAGUGAUCUACUCUCCAACCGACUCCAUACUUUCGUCUCAACCAUUCACAGUAAAUAAAAUUUUAAUCAGAAAAAGCUGCAACUCACUGGGAAGUGGGUUGAAAAUUGAGAUGCAAAUGUGCGGACUGUUGUGGUGCAUCAGGUGCAGAAUUAUCUUUCUAUCCAUGAUUAUUCUGAAUGUCUAUUAAUGACUGUAGAUAUCUGGCACCUGAAUAUGCUGAAUAUGGAAUUGUCUCUGUAAGGACAGACGUAUACGCGUUUGGGAUAGUUCUUUUUCAACUGAUAUCGGGCAAAAGAGUAUUAGAUGAACAAGAAGGACAGUCCCACCAUAUAUUGCAAUGGGUAUGUAAGUUUUAAGGCAUUUUGCUGGUUUGGCCUUCAAGCUUUGCAGAAGCUGCUAACAUGAUUCUUCCCUGUGUCUUUGUUUGGGAAAAAUACAUUGGAACAUACUGAACUUUUAGCUGAUUACUGAUGGCUUCUGCCUAAGCUUUUAAUUUUUAAAUGAACAAUCGUACAAAUUUGAUCUACCGCCUACUCCAUAACUCUGUACUCUUCUCUUUUAUGGAGCUAAUUGACUAAAAUACACCAUAAGCGCAUCUAGGCAUUAGAGAAGACAGGUAGGACGUGAAGUCUUGACUGUCAUGUGACCGAUGGUCGUGACGGGAAAACUGACUGAAUAGUGUGUAGGGUAGAUUGAUACUUUCAGGUUGCUCAUGUACUUUAUUUUUUAAAAAUUAAAAAACUUCUGUGGUCAUCUAUAAUCAUCUAAAGUUCAGGAGAGCUUCUGACGUGUUUCCCCCGUUUUUCUUCGAAAAUCUUAGGCAGAACCGCUGGUGGAAAGUCUUGCAUUGCAUGAAUUGAUUGAUCCGCGCAUCGGAGACUCUUAUGACACUUACGCUCUUUACCGGCUGGCAAAAGCAGCAUUUCUUUGUGUUAGAAGAAAUCCCGAGCUGCGUCCAUCAAUGGGAGAGGUUUGUAUCAUGGCUCUGCUCAUGUGUUGUCCUUAAAACAUUGAAAAGUUGUACUUUCUGGUCUUUUAGUUAUCUCUUUUUGCAAGGAUUUCCGCAUAAUGACAUGCUCCAAAGAUCUCUGCAUGAUAAAUGCUCACCGAGAAGGGUCCGUAAGCCCAUUUGUCCGCAUAAAGAACAUACUAGGUUGCAUUGGUUGGGAUAGGAUUGCGUGGCUCUAGUUGUUGAUAUAACAAAAGCGAGUAUGUUAAUACUUUUUUCGUUGGUAACAUAGCCGGCGACCCACCUUGAUUGUUGUCCCCAAGCACAAAAGUACACAUUAACUGCCCUUGCAAAUAUAUCCAACCAUCAACUUAGUUCACUUCUUACUUCGUCUUAGCUAAAAAUUUAGGCUUUGGAACUAUAUAUAUAGUUAUAAGAAGGGAUUCCACCUGCUAGGUAUGUCAUCAUGUUGCAGAGUUUGUUUACUUUUCAGAAUCAUAGCAUCGCAUGAUAUGCAUACGUGCCUCGUGCCAGUGAUCUUAGCCACCAUAAUAUCAAUAUUCAUAUGUUAUAUUUUUGAUAUUUUCUUGUCCUGUACACUUUUUAUUCCUUGAGAAAUUUAUGAAAUACAUAAAACUAAUAGCAUCAUCAAAAUCAGGCUAUUUCAUGCACACAUACUUGAGAUGAGUAACUUGGUGCUUUGUGUUUAAUAUAAUUUGCUUUAAGUUGCUUACGUGCAAAAACUUUUUUUUUUAAAAAAAAAACAGGUGGUACGCCUUCUCGAAGCAGCAGACGACCACGCCAGGCAUUUGACUCAGCAAUUCAUUCCCCACUACACAAAGUGAAGAAUUACUUGGUGGCAUCCAAUCGCCGCAAACGAAAUAUGAAGAUACCAAUCCACCUUAGUAUAGGUGGAUAGGUUACCUAUUAUGGAGCUAGAGAUCCCAAGCUGCAGCCCGGGUUUGCGUUUGCGCUGCUUUUGGUUUUAGGGUUUCUGGGGUUCGGGGAACCUACAGGCUGCGCCGCAAAGAAAAAAAAAAAAACAGAAGUUAUCUUCAGAUAAUUAUUGGUUUUUGAAGUUAGUAAUUCUCUUUUAUUACAUAUGUAGUACGAACUAAGAAGUUGAAACAUUUUGCUUUUAGCUUUCGAAACACGGGGCAUUUCUUAUUUUUGUGGAGUUAUUGAAGCCUUGGAAACAUUGUUUGGUUGGAAGUGUAGAUAAGGUCUAUUAUAAUAGGCCUCUUUUUGGCAUUUAGCUUCCUUACAAAUUUUUUUUUUUUUUUUUUCACAAAUAGCUUCAUAAGUUGAACACGGUGAAUCAUUCAGUAUUGAAACUAAAAUGCACUGCAGGAUUGUUUGAAUUCUUUUGUACUGCGGGCUCGCUAUUGUUUUGUCCAUCCAAACGCGGUGAAUGAUGCACUGCGUUCAAUUUACUCCUCCACGGUUGUUAACAUGACGCUUGCAUAACGGGGUUAGGGUCAGUUUUGUAAUUAUAAAUUUCGUAGGAUUAUUUGUGAAAAAAAAAAUUUAAGAGGGGGUUAAAUGCCAAGAAAAAGCCCAUUAUAAUGCUUAAUUCCAAGUAAAAUAAGCUUUAUGUCACAAAAGUUGAAAUGUGUGGAAACUUCCUUUUUUUCUUUUUUGUGUAAUUUGUUUAUGCGUUCUAAGAAGCCCCAAGUGGGUUUGAAAUGUUUGGUGUCAUUUUUUUGUUCUUCUUCUUCUUCAUGCAGAGUUAGGUACUUAGGCCCAAGUUUGUUUAGUCAAACAAGAAAAAGAAGCAUGCCCCAAUUAAGUGUGUUUGAAACUUAUGGUCAAUUGCUUGUUUUCCUAUAUAUAUGCUCACUAAAUGUGUAAAUACUACUAAUACUUUGUCAAAUAAAAAUGUGACAACUCAUUAUUUACCUAGACUUUGGAAAUGACUUUUUUUCUGGAGAAAAAGAAGUCAAUUAUUUUGUGAACAGAGCUUCAUGGUUGGUGGGAAAUAGAAUUACUUUUUUUCUCAUACUGUUUUUAUAUACUGAAGAGAAUAAAAAGAGUGAAAAAAAAAAAAGUUGAUUAGUGUUAUUUUCUAUUCUCCUUUUCUUCACUUUCAAAGUGAAAAAGAGAAAAUUUGAGUAAAAGAGAAAAUUUAUGGAACACUUUUAUUUAAAUUCUACUUUUUUCAAUAACUUUAGUUAGGCCAAAUAGUUCCUAAAUUAUGGAUUCAUGCCCCACAUUUCUCUCAAAGAUUAUAUCUUCACAUAUUAGCAAAAGCUACCAUAAUUUUGGAAUGGAGUUACCAUAUUUUUCUGAAACGACUUAUCAAUAUUAGAAUAAACUUCAGUGGGGAGUUCCCUAAUGACGCCUAGUUUGGGAACUCUGAUCUGCUGCUACGUGUUAGUUUUGUUUCAAUUCAAUUGCUCUUUAAGUGUUUUCAAUACUAAAAUUUAAAAAAAACAUUUCAAAUCCUAAAGAAAAGGGUUGUAAUCCUUGAAUAAAGAUAAAAAUGUCACGUGGUGAUGGAUUAGACGUUCUUAACGGGGCAUCGUUGGGGAGCUCUCAACUAAAGUUCUUUUUCUCAACGAUCAACAUCUUUGGGUCUGAAUCGUGACAACACGUAACCAACGUUGUUCGUUAAAUAUCUUUCUCCUUUUCAAUUGUGAAAGUAAUGGAUACAUAUAUUGUGGAUCCCAUUCUCACUUGAAUGUUGAAUCAAAAGAUAUAAAAUUAGAUAGGAUUGAUUUAACGAAGAAAAACUGUAAAACCUUCUUGAUUUUUUGGACCCAUCUAACUUUGAUCCAACUACAAAUCUUCGUGUUAAAAUUUAUUAUGUGAUGUGAAAUUCUGUAAAACAAUCGUUAUUCUCCAAUAAUAAUAGAGAAUAGUAUUUUUAUAUUAUUAUAUUUAAAAGUGAGUAAUCAUUCCUAUCGAUUUUUUAGUCAAUUCUUCUCAUCAUGCAAAUUUUAUAAAGUUAUUUAGAAUUUUACUAUAUAUAUAUUAAAAUAUUUUUAAUAUAAUCAAAUAAAAGAGAAAAAAAUAAUUUUUUUUUCUUUUUUCCUACAAACUAAAUACAUAUGGUGCGAUUAUGAAAUCUAUUUUUCUUAUAAGAAAUCAAACAUCUAAAAAGCUUAAAUUCUUUUCUAUUGAAAACACUUUUUCGUGAAAAAUAUUAUCUGUACACUUACAAGUGUGAUGUAAAUUAUAAACCUUAUUCAUCCAAAGAAUGAAAAUAAUCUUAUAAACUUUUAGUAUUAAAAAUAAAUAAAAUAAAAUACUAUCUUUACAUCUCUUAUGAAGGGUCUAUAUCUUUCUCCUUUGACCCAAGGGUUGAUAAGAAAAGCAGAUUAAAAUUUUAUGGAUAUAAAAUUUUUAGAGUUAAUUUCGCACAGAUCUAUACAAAUAUAGUGAAUUACAAAUAAAUCUCUACAAAGUUUAACUUUCAUAUGUUAUUGUCCUUACAAAAGUCCUAAUAUUUUCAAAUAUGUCCCUCUGUUUUGUUAUCGUUAAAGCGCUGUUUAUUUAUAAGUGAAAUGACUUUUUUGUCAUCACAAAUAUGUCCCCCCAAAAGUCCCAACUGUUAAUUGAAGAAGGAUAAAAAAAUCAAUUCACCUUAUUAACUAAGGAGGGUUAAGUAUUUUAUUUAUGGUUAACUAAUUUUUUUAACGGAUCUUAACGGCAGGAAUAUAUUUGCAAACAUCAGGACUUUUGUAGGGACAACAUAUAAAAGUUGAACUUUGUAAGGAUAUAUUUGCAGGAAUCUGUAUAAAAUUAACCCAAUUUUUUAUAUCCAUAUAUAAAAAUGUAUGAAUAGGAUUGAUAAAUUGUGAUGAAAUUAAGGGUGUGUUUGGUUCGCAUUAUGAAAGAUUACUAGGAAUAAAAGAUAUUCGAGAAUCUUAUUUCUAUUCAUCCUAUUACUAAGAAUGUGGAAUUCCUGUGUUUGGUUCGCACGGUAAUAUUAAUUAGCCAUGUUAUUUAAUAUUACAAAAAAUAUACAAUUAAUUAAUUAAUUAAUUAAUUUAAUUUUAUAUAAUAUUAUCAAAAGUUUCAACAUCUUUUUAGAAAAAAGGGAGAGAGAGUAUAAGUUAGAGAGAGAGAGCAUAAUUAAAAAAAUAGAAAGAAAAAUAUAGUCGAAAUUAGAGGGAGUGAGAGAGUUGAAAUUUUAGAAAGAGAAAGAGAGAGAAAGCUUAGUUUAGAGAGAGAAAAAAAAGUUGAAUUUUAGAGAGAAAAAUAAGUUUAGAGAGAGAUAUAAGGUUAGAGUGUAAAGAAAAAUAAUAUCAAUUAGCCGGCGCAUAAAAAAAAAGAAAGAAAUUAGACAUAUUAUGAUUACCCCAAUCCAUUAAUAUGAGGAUACCCACCCUCCCUCAAAGGAAUGAGAUUAGUACUUUGGGGUGAAUCUUAUUUCCAAGUUAAUCCAAUAUUACCAACUAGAUUACUUAGUGCGUUUAACGAAACACCGUCAUAUUUUUUUUAUUCCCAUUGGAUUAUUAGGAAUCUUUAAAAGAUAGCGCGAACCAAACGCAUCCUAAGGGUAAACUUUAGAUACCACCCAUGUGGUUUCUCACUUUCUCACUUUAGUGUACUCAUAGGUUUAAAGUGUAUCAAGUUAGUGUCUUAUUAUUUUAAUUUUAAUCUUUUCGUCAGCUUCUCCCUUAGUAUUUUAUUAAAUUAUAUACAGAAAAUUUCAGAUACCCCAUCUAGGCUUAUCGAAUAUUCACUUUAGUACUCUUUAGUUUUAACUUUGUCACUGAUUUAACAAAAAAAAUUAGUAAAAUCUAAAAAAAAAAAAAAAAAUUACAGAAUACUAAAUUGAUAUAUAUUCAACCGUAAAAUUCUAAAGUUAGAAAAUAUAAAACUACAGUGGUUAUAUUUAAAAUUUUUUCUAAAAUUAAUAUAAUAAAAAGCAACCAAAUACAUUUUUUUAGGUGUAAAGGGUGCAGUUCUCUGUCAACAACUUCAGGUUGUACAGUUGUACCCUCUUCUUUUUUUUUCAAAAAAAAAUUAUGAUACAUGCUGACGUGGCACAUUGUCAACCGUUCUUUUCCAGCCAUCACAUCAUUUUAUCUGUAUGCGAAAAAAAUAGAAAAAGGUUGUACCCAUCAUUAUUAUGGUACAACUUUUUAUGUUUGUGAAUGUGGUUUGAGAUGAGAAUAAGAUUCCCCCUUUUGACCCAGAUGCUUCUUUAAAAAAAAAAAUAAUAAUAAUAAUAAUAAAAAUUAUUAGGGGCAAUAAUGUAAAAAAAAAUGUUUGGAGACUUUUUUUUUUUUUUUUAAUGCUCUGAUAUUAGCUUAAUUGUAAGUAAAAUAGUGUAAUACUUGAUAUAAUAUAUUUUUAUUCAUUCUUUCUAAUUAUUAUAAUUUAUUAUUUUAUUCAUGAAUCACGUAAUUCUUCUCGAAAGUUAUAUUAAUUAUCUAAAUAGGUUUUUUUUGUCUCAGCAUAUUAAUCAUCAGAGAACGUAAAAUAUAUAAUACUUUAACUUUAUAUAAAAAAACUCUUAAUUUGUGACUUUUUAGCCGUCGAAUCGUCUAAAUCCAUACAACAUUUCGCGAUGUGUUUCGCUGAGUCUCUUUUACUAAAAUUGUACAAAUGUUGACAUAAUCCGACAGCUAAAAAAUUACAAGCACAUUGAGUUCGUGUAUUUUUAAAAGUAGAGGAGAUCAACUCCUAACUUAGUUGAUGAAUAACAUGAAUUAAAACAAAUAAAUUAAGAUUAGGAAUGUGUCAUUUAAAAGAGCAUAUAUAAUAAUGAUAGGGUCCUGUCCCAAAUUAUAUAUAGUUGAGGGGGUCUUCCACACAUGAAGAGUUGGAUUUCAUAAUGUUAUUGCCACAUGAUACACAAAUUAAAUAAGUAGGUGCAUGAUUAGGAAAUUUCACUAAAUUAGUUAUAUUUCAUUCUCAUCUAGGCAAUUAAAAAAAAAAAAAAGAGAAAAGAAACUUGUGUUUUUCGAAAAAAAAAAAAAUAGUCUUCUAGUUUCUAGAAGCUGCCUAGUCUUUUUUAGAAGCAAACUUUUUUAAUUUGGUGCAUCAUAAUCACAAUAAAAUUUUUCAAAGGAAAUGAGGUAAUCAUGGUCUCAUAUUCUUAAUAAUUAAGAUUAAGAAAGUGAUAGGAACUAUACCAACAAACCAAUCCAUCCACAUGCACCACUCAAAAUUGAAAAUUGUUUAAGACUCAAUCUUAAUAAUCAGCUUAUUUUAAGCAAGCUUAAUUUUGAACUUAAUUUAAUUAUGAUCUUACUUUUCGUUAAAGGAUUAGAACCUAAUCCGAAAACUUAAACUAAUUGGUUGGAAUAAUCUCUAUCUUUCUCUCUCUAUAUAUAUAAUAAAUAGAGUUUUACUUUGUAUUCAAUAUGAGACUAUUAUUCUUAACACUCCUGACACGUGUUAGGUGCUACUAACACGCUGUAUGAAUUUAAUGCAAUCGUAUAAAAUUCGCAUAUCAGAUUAUAACUAAUGUGCAGUGUAAUUCGUUACAUAUUGUUCAGUUUAGAUACGACACCCUAACUUUUUAGGGAGUCACAGCUAAGACUCAUCUCACACUUUUGGCUAAUAAUUGGCACUAAUACCAAAUACGACGCCCCAACUUUUCAGAAGGUUAUUCAUCCUAUGACUACUUUCGUCCUAACAUGUUUAACUCUCUUAAGCUCUUAGCCUUAGUCAUCACCCAAAAUGCUUAAGUCAAGUUAAUAGUAUUACAUCUAUUAUAUUAUAUAUAUAGAACUAUCUGAAGUCUCACAUUAGAUGCUAUGCACGACUAAUAUAUGAUAUAAAUAAUUUCACGCGCUAAACACCACUAACACACGAUUACUCAACCGGCCAAAAAUUAGAAAGUAUGAAAAGCUCAAAUCCAAUUUUGCCACAGCAUGUGAUAUGGACACACUUAAUAUAGUUAAAUAAAAUUUAAAAUAUCUUAAUAGUUUUUUUUUAAAAAAAAGUUAGACAAUAUAUAUAUUUUGUAGGUUUCAUAAUUUAUGACGUCCACCUUAUGUGAUUAUUAUUAUUAUUAUUUUUGCUUAUGUGAGUGUUUUUUUUUUUUUUUUUUUUUUUGUGGAGAGAGUUUCUCUCGCACAAUUAAAGAGAAAAGUUACACCCGAAAAAUAAUCGAAUUGGAACAAAAAAAAUUAUUUUAAUAACUUCAUAAUUAGUUGAAUAUCCCAAUGAAUAACAACACUACUUGUUUUGUUAUUGUCGAAUACUAUAUAUAUUUAAUCCGAUUUUGAUCCGAAUCCGAGCUUUUUCGAACCCUAACCAUUUUUGUAGAGUCUCGUUCACGGGUCUAAUUAAUGGAUUAGAUCGUAGUGUGUACACUAUCCAUGUCUUGUUUGCUACGCGACUUAAAUUUUUCCCUAUCCAUGAUUCAACUAUUUCAGAAUAUUAAAUCAUUCUCCUUAUCGCCGUUUGGAUGUUUGAAUACGUUAUACAAAAAAUUUAUUUUUCGUCGUAAAAGAAAAUUAUAAUUUACUUACAAGUUGCAAAAAAUAUAUAUAUAUAUAUAUAUAUAUAUAUAUAUAUAUAUAUAUAUAUAUAUGACAUGAUUACACUAUGGCUGAUAUACUGUACGUGCACCAUUGCUUCUACUAUUAUUGCCCUAUCAACAUCUUUAUCGUCGCCGCCGAUGGUCGUCAAUCUACCUUUGCCACCACCGUUGCUUCGUUACUCCCACCGCGUACUAUCAUUGGCUCUAUCUUAGUUGCUGCUGUUGUAUUUUCAACAUUAUUAUUAUUGUCACUACCACUGCUACUACUGCAGAAACCAUCAUUGCUACUGUUGUCGCCGCUGCCACCACUGCUAUCGUCGCUGCAGCCAUUGCCACCACCACCACCGUUGCCAUCGCCACUGCCAUAGUCGCCAUCGCUACUACCGACACCAUAUACACGUUGUCGCAUGCAACCAUAUAAAUCAAUCCAUAUCUAAUAGCAAUUCCGAUUUUUAUUCUAAACCAAAUUGACCCCCACUCCAAUCCAUUUCAAGUUUUAUUCCCAUUUUGAUGCAAACUCAUCCUUAAAAUAAGACUUUCUUAUCUCAGAGUGGAGAGUAUCAACUAACUGUUCUAAGUAGUAUUAAUAUUAUGAGGUAUUUAUUCUCAUAUCUAAUCUAAAUUCUCUACUGACAUUUUACUAAUUUUUGUUUAAAAACUAGGAUCAUAAUAUUAAUAAUUGCAUCAUUUUAACUAUUAACAGAGAGAUUCAUUUAACGCAAUUAUAUAUCAUUCAUCUCGACUAAAUUCGAUCAGAUAGCGUGGAUCUAAUCUCGCAUUUUAGAAAAGAACUAUUUUAGAUAAGCAAACACCAUCCAAAGGUGAAUAUAUGAACUUGGUUUCAUUCAUUGUGACAUGAAAAGCACCACUUUCCCUUUCUUAAGUGCACUACACGCUUGUUAUGUUGAUGUCACAUUAUUAUCCAAAUAGGGGAAACUUAUCAUCUUUGUACUACUCCCUGUAAUUCAUGCAACUUUGACACUGAUUUGGUACAAAAUUUAGGCCAGGUUCAUUGUAGGGGAGCAAAAGGACACAAAGGAGACAAGAUAUGAAGUAUUUUGUGGACCCUUUUGUUCACUAAAAAGUAGGGGGAGUGGGUUAAGUUAACCACAAAGCUAACCAUUUUCGAAAAAGAACCUUUAUCUCUAGCUUAUACAAAAAAAAAAAGAAAAAAGAAAAAAGAAAACUUAAACAAUUAUUGUCCCAUUAAUAUAGAGUACCAUUGAUGCAAACAUAGGAACUAAUGCUAUAAAUAAUCCCAAAUAUUAUGUAAUAUUUAGUGGUUAAUAUUAGUUAGCAUGAUUAGAGAUAUUGUUACGUAAAUAAAAUACUAUUAUCAUAUCUCAAAGCACACGAACGAAACUCCACGAUCUUCGGUUGAAGCUGACUCGAAUCAUGUUCACACUUUUAGUGCUUCAAGAUUCAGCAUUUGCUACUAAGCAUUUUGAAAAUGAUCUGCUUUUGCUUUCAGUAACAGAUAACCGGCCAUCUGUAAUAAGCAUUUAGUAAAUAAAUCAUGAUAUAUAUACUACAGCAAAAAUCAAAGAUAAGAUUCUGCAAUCCUAAGACAGAAACUUGUAAUUUGAAACUUAAAACUUUAAUUAUGUAUAAAGAAAAUUCAUUAAAGAAAUUUUAGUGUAAUGCUUAUUUUUUCUAUAAGCACUACUAAAGUAACACUUUGUUUAACGACACGACACCCUAUAAUAAGGCGAAAGACUUUUAAGAUGUAUAUAGCUAACCAAAUUUAUAGUAGUGAGGGCUCCUAAGAUUCUAAGUUCAACAUCAACAAUCCCACCAAAUUGGCUCUAAAUUUUUUUUAAAAAAAUAAUAAUAUUAAUCAACUUAUCCCAUUAUUACUAUUUUUCUAUUAUUAUUCUCCUUGCUUUAUCAUAGGUUAGGUAUGAGAUAUCCCAAUGAAGGAAAGAAUAAAAGUAGUACUAAACCCUAUCUACAAGUCUCACCCAAUUGAUUUGAAACUUACUUGAGUUGAGGGAGCUUGAGUAAAACUAACAUGAGAUCCCUAAUAACAAUGCCUUUUUACUUUUCAUUUGGGGAAAAAAAAUAUUUUUUUCAUUAGAUUUUAAUUUCCUAACAAUAUUUAUAUAUGUAAUAGAGGCAAAAAAAAAUUAAGUUGAAGUUGCUGUUAUUUUUUAACUUCUAAUUAUUACGACUUGUGGAAUAUAAUUAAAUGAUUGAAAUAUUGUUUUUGCUUAAUUUUUUUUAAAAAUUAAUUAUUUCACAUAAUAAUAUUGGAACAGGAGGUUUUAAAUUCGAAUUCUUUACUUUAUGAAAAAAAAUACUAUUGAAUAAACUUACUAGAAUAUGCCCUAACAACUUUUUAUUAAUAAUUUUUUUAUUUUAGAAAUAUAUAUAUGUAUAUAGAUUCUCUAAACUUUAACUCUUUUUCAAAUUGUUCAAAAAUAUACAGAGAAUCUCCUUGACUAUCUAGUACGGAUGAAUGGAGUGUUUGAGCUCUUGGACCAUAAUAAAAGAAGAAUUUUCGCGGAAAAAACACGUAAAUUUAGGCCGUAUUUGUUAUAUUAGAACUAAGGUUUUAAUAUAACAAAUAAGAUACUAUACCAAUAAGAUACUGACACGAUACAGACUUCGUGCCGAUGGUACAGCUCAAAACUCUCUAUUUUUUAAAUUAAUACGUAAUUUUCUUAAUAAAAUUUAAAAGAUGUGAUAAAAAAAUAUAAUAAAUAGUUAAAAUAUUUUGUUGCUAAAGAAAAUAAAUAUUUCAUGCUAUUAUGUGUCAGCACACAAGAGUUUUUUUGACUGGCACGCAUCAACACGGUUCGACACGCACCGUGCCGUACCGUGCCGGUAAGCUUUCGACACUACUUCAUGUCACGGCACUCAAAUUCUUAAUUAGAACUACACUCCAUAGAAGACGGUGAGUUUCGUCUGUACGACGAAACUCACUACUUCGUGGUCUUUGAGACGACCUCGCACUUGCGGGCCGUGCGGGUCCCAUGGAAGUCGGAGAUAGUGGUUACGUCCAAAUGCCAGCGAUCUCUUGCUUGCGUUACAUGAAUUCACGAAUUCUUAGUCGGAUUUUCGUCUAAACAAACAGGCUUUUUAUUUCCCCUCCAAAAAAAAAAAAGUUUUUUUAGUAAAUUUACUAAUAUACCCCUAGGAAAAGUAUAUAAAGCUAAAAUUGGGGGAAACCUAAUUAAUUAGAAUUGUGUUUACUUUUUUGGCGGUUUCGGCGUUUCGCGUCUCCCGACGCAUCUCCACCUCACAAAAAUAAUUAAAUAAUAAUUAAUAAUAAGAAUUAUUAUUAUUAUUAUUAUUAUUAUUAUUAUUAUUUGUUUCGUCGCCUUCUCCACGGCACUGCUUGCGUGUCGCCAUCUCCCUCCCCCGGCCCACUGGGCCCCACCUCCCCCGCUGCACCCUACCUGCGUUCGCCACGUGUCCAUACUCCUCGUCGUCCCUUCUCCGUGCACCGCGCUUUGUACACCGGAUCCCUGUACUCUUUUUUGGGGUAAAAUUCAAAUGUCAUCUCUGUGGUCUCGCACUUUCUCAUUUUAGUACUCUGAUUUAAAAUGUAUCAAUUUAGUAAUUCGUGUCCUUAAUAUUUUAUUAAAUUGUAUAUAAAAAUUUUAAAUAUCUCAUCUACGUUUAUCGAAUAUUCACUUUAAUAUCUUUUAGUUUUAACUUUUCUCACUGAUUUAACGAAAAAAUUAGUAAAGAAAAUAAUAAAAAGAGAAAAAUAAAACCACGGGGCACUGAAUUGAUACACUUUAAAUCAUAUGAUACUAAAAUAAAAAAGUGUGAAACUAUAAGGAUCGUAUUUGAAGGCUUUUCUUUUCUUUUUUUUUUGGUUCGUAUUAGGCUGCUGGCAAUCUAUCUCUCUAUUCGCCGGCUAGUAGAGAGCAUCAGUCUCGAGGUUACUUUGAGCUGAACACGAGUAAUUUUUCAACCCGAAAUCUUAACGAGCCGAAUAUGAACUAAGAUCCACUUGCUAGUAUUUGACUCGUUGAAGUUCGAAUAUAUAUUUAUAUGUUUCAACUAUUUAGAUUUUAAGCCGAUUCAAAUAAAAAGAGACCUAUAUUUCGUGAAUAUAAUUAUUAGAUUAAAAUUUUAAUUUUUAAUUUUCUCGUAACCUCUACUAGUAGAAGGACUGACGAUCUAAGUUGCUACUCGUGAGCUAACUCUUGUUCAGCUCAUUUAACGAAGAAGUGAACACGAGCCGACCCCAGCUCGCUCUUGUUCGCCCAUUGACGGCUCCAAUUGGUAGGACCGGCUUAAUAUAAUAUAAUUUUUUUUAUAAUUUGAUAGACCAGGUCUAUAGACCAGGUCCACGCAACUAUUUCCGCGUUCUCGUGUCGUCUCCCUCGCUCUCUCCCACAGCCGCAUACGUCGCUGUUCCCUUCUAUUUAAAACCCUAAGCGGCGGAGUCUCAAUUCGGGGCUUCGAGCUCCAUUUUGAUCGCCUAGUACCCACAAUUUUCCACCUUUUAACCCAAAAUUUCCAAAAUUUUCAUCUAUCAAUCGCUCAGUUCACCCAAUUUGAUCCGUUUGUAGCCGUUUGGUUGGAGAAUCGAGAACUCUCUGUGGGGUUUUUGCACCAGGUGAGUGAUCGAUCGCUUCUUCUGUGUCCAAGUCCUCUAAUCCCUGCCUCGGGGUGUUUGAUUUCGCUGCGAUCGUGUCCAAGUUUAGAUUUUUCUCUUAUUUUGGCUACUUUUUUUUUUUGUGGGUUUUUAAUCGGUUGGCCUCUGUUUCUGCUUUAUCGCCCUCGUUUUAGGAGCCUUUUAACUCGUUUGUGGAGUUAGGGUUACUCUUUUUGUUGGUUUUGUUGGGUUUCGAUCGCUUUUUGUAGCUUUAGUUUUACCCCCCCUUGUUUGUCCGAUUAGGGUUUUGGAUGCUCCGAUUUCUCCGUUUUUCUCCUAGUUUUCUCUGACACCGGCGAGUAAUUCCAAUUGUUUUUUAUAAUUUCUUCUUCUAUACAUAUCUAAAUUUCAAAAUUUUGUAAUUUUGUGGUAAUUUUGGGUUUUUUAUCGCUGUGUUUGUUGUUUCCCUCUCCAAGCUUAUGCGUUUCGUCUUAGUUUGUGUUCAGUGCGUUUCAGUAACGCCUCUCUCCUUCUUCUUUUAAGGGGAAAGUUAGGUUUUUAUUAUGUCUAAAUAUAGCUCUAAUAAUACUUGUUCAAAAGUUGUUUGCUUUGUUGCUAGGAUUAGGAUCGCCAAAUUAGUACCUUUUGUAUGUAUUUAUGAACCAUUUAAUCGGGUUUUGAAUUUGAUCUCAUCAAAAUCACAUUUUUGAUCUAGUUCUUUCAUUGAUCUAUUAGCUAAUUAGUUGAGAAGUUGUUUGAUGUGUUGGUAUGUGCCAUUUCGAUCCAAGUAUCUGGUUGAUAUGUAGGCUAAUGAGUAAUUUACCCUUAUUUAGGAGAUACAAAGAUGGUGAGUGGAAGGCCAGGGAGUGGAGGAGGAUUGGAUGUAUGGUUUAAGAACCUGAUGGUGGCGGGCGAAGGGGGGAAGAUGGAGCGGGCGGGGCCGGUCAUGGCCGGUUGGAAGGAUCUCCCGAUGGAGCUGCUGUUGAGGAUCGUGUCGCUCGUCGACGACAAGACGGUCAUCGUGGCCUCCGGCGUUUGUACCGGGUGGAGAGAUGCUUUGUGUUUGGGCCUCACUAGCCUCUCCCUCUCAUGGUGAGCAACUCAAACUCUUCUUCUCCUUUUGUUAUUUCUUUUCUUUCCAUAUGUUGUAAUUAUAUGUCGCAUUAGCUUAGGAUUGUUACUUAGGCACUGUUUGGAAUUAUGGAGAAUUAUGGAGAGAUUGCGAUACGUAUGGCGAGAAAGUACAAUAAGAAAAUGUCGAUUUGUCUUCCGACGUAAUAGCACAUUGCGCACAUCACAAUGAGUAGAUUAGGAUAUAUUUUCUGUGGUUUCACCGAAAAACGAGAAAGCAUAUCGUUAUAUACUUUCAUCAUAAUUCUGCUUAACAUUAGAUCGGCCUCAAUACCAAACGGGCCCUUAAAAUGGGAAUGCUGGGGAUUUUGUUGUGAUUCGUGAUGUUAGAUGAAAAGGUGAAAUAAUAGGCAAGAAAAAUGGUGGAAUGAUAGGAAUGUGAAAUUUUGGAUUCUUUGGAAGAAUAUAUUGUCUUCAGAGUUCAAAACUGAUCUUCUCUUUACUUUAAUGAUAUCAAAUUAUUUGCAUAGAUCACUUUAAUCGACAAUCGCUGUUGUACCGUCGUCGCAAUUUAAUAAUGAAAGUUUUUCAGAAUUGAUAUUGUUAGUGGAGAAUCUAUUAGUAUUCCAAUUUCUAGAGUACCAAGUGGGUUUUUGUUGUGUUGAUACAGAUCGUUUAACUUUACUUUUGUGAUUGAGUUCUCUCAAUUUUAAUUGCUUUUUAGAAAUUGAGUUUGUGAUUCACUAGAAAUCAGCGGCACUGCUAGCUGUAAGCUGUUAACCGUUCACUAGAAAUCAGAGAAGUUUGGUUUGUUUUCUUCAAAUGGCAUAUAGAGAGGAGGUCUCCAUCCUUUUUUUACCUGAUUGUAGUUGAGAUCAGUUUGAUUUUGCUGAUCCCUUCGUUUUAACUUACUGUAUUUAAGUUUCAUUCCAGGUGCAAGAACAACAUGACUAGUCUUGUAGAUUCGCUCGCUCCCAAGUUCACGAAACUUCAGGUCCUGACUCUACGACAGAACAGACCGCAACUUGAGGACAGUGCGGUCGAAAUUGUCGCAAAACACUGCCAUGAUUUGAGAGAUCUUGAUCUUAGCGGAAGCUUAAAGUUGAGUGACCGUUCGUUGUAUGCCCUAUCUCGCGGAUGGCCUCACCUUACAAGACUCAAUAUUAGUGGGUGUUCUUCUUUUACUGAUUCUGGCCUAGCUUAUCUGACAAGUCACUGCAAGAACCUCAAUUACUUGAAUCUUUGUGGGUGUGUGAAAGCUGCAACAGACCGAGCUCUAGAGGUAUUGUAGUCCAAUGUGUUCUCAACUAGCUAAUUCCACACCCCCUUAUACCCCUUUGAAAUCUGAAUUUUCAUAUAUAUUCCUUGAAGGUGCAUUUUCUUGCAAAAACACCUUUAUUUAUCUAGGAAUCGUCUAAUUCUUUAGAAAAUGUUUUGAAGGGCAUUAUAGCAUGUAAAUUCAGAUUUUGCAGGGACAAUUAUAAGUUCAUAAUUUUGCAGGGUUUUUUUUUCCUUAUGUUUUCUUCUAUGAAGUUUUAUAAUUAUUUAUUUGGAUGCAGGCUAUUGCAUGCAAUUGCGGUCAGUUGCAGUUUCUGAAUCUCGGAUGGUGCGAGGCUGUUAGUGAUAAAGGAGUGACAAGCUUGGCAUCAGGUUGUCCUGAUCUUAGGGCUCUCGAUCUAUGUGGCUGCGUCCUUAUAACAGGUACUUAGAUGGUCGACAUUAUUUUUUUUUUUUAAAAGUGAGUCAUCAUUAAACUGUUGGAAUUGAGGAACCAUGAGUUGGUCCUCAUUUAGAUACAUGAUUUAGUUCCUGAGUUGGUCAAUUAAGUCGUCCUCGACCCUAUGUGUUUUACAGUGCGACUUAAAUUACGUCAAACAAGUGUUCAAAUGGUAAUUUUAGUCGCUGUGAAGUACGACGAUAGGCGUAGGCCAAAACAUUAAUUCACAAAACUAUUUGAAUCUAUGGUCUCACUGAAUUUCUUUCUUAGCACCGGUAUGCAAAGAACUAGAAAACCGCGGGUUGUCUAACCUUAUUGUUGGAUUUUGUGUCGGUUGUGUAUAAUGUUGAUCUAAGUUAGUCGUAUAUGUCUGCUCCGUUUUUUAUUUUAUUUUAUUUUAUUUAUUUUUCCUCCAGUAACUGUAACUUAAUGAACAUGAUUUUGAUCUCGUAAAUGCUUUGGUUCUAAAUCUUAAAAGAUUUCGAGUUGCUAUAGAUGUAUAAGCAAAAUAUGCAUCAGCUCUUAAACAUUUUAAAAACAAUUUGAGUGAUCUCAUGUGCCUUUUCACUUGUGUUUCAUCAUUCUUCUACUAGUUUGGACAAUUUAAACAACCUCAGAUCCUCCACUACAUUUUUACAAACAAGUGCAGAUGAAAGUGUGAUUGCUCUGGCCAACGGCUGCCUCCACCUGAGAACCCUCGGCCUCUACUACUGCCAGAACAUCACCGACCGCGCAAUGUACUCCCUUGCGAAAAAUGGCCGCGUGAGAAGCAAGCGAGGCCCACAGGACCAGAUCUGCGGCAGCGCCACCACCCGCGGCGGGGGGUUUGACGAGAAAGAAGGCCUCGCGAGCCUCAACAUCGGCCAGUGCACCGCCCUCACCCCGCCCGCCGUCCAGGCCGUCUGCGACUCCUUCCCGGCCCUCCACACUUGCCCCGAGCGCCACUCCCUCAUCAUAAGCGGCUGCCUCAGCCUCACCUCGGUCCACUGCGCCUGCGCGGUACAGGCUCACCGCGCAGGGAGAUCGGUCCUUUCCAACCAUGCUUACUGAGUCUGUUUCUGCUGGGUGUGUUUCGUUUGAAUGGGUUCUCGAAAAGGCGUGUUUUAAAUCGCACUUAAGGUUUUGUUGUAUGUGUAUAUAUAUAUAUAUAUAUAUAUGGAUGGUCUUUAUAUGUAAUAUAGCUGGGACUGUUUCUUCAGAGGCUUCAGUAAAUUAAACCGCGGAUUUGCGACGAAGGAUAUAUAAGUAAAUGAUGUGCCUUGGCCUAUGUUGGUUAUGACUCCCAAGUAUGCAACUGUUGGUUAUUGUUCAGUAGUUUCCUUAAGCUUCUUAAACCCUCUUGGUUUACAUUUAGAAGGUUCUUAAGCUCCAUUUGGGAUUACGUGCAGUGAAAAAGUAUGAAAGAAAAAUAUAAUCGCCUGUUUAUAAAUAAAAUAUCGCAUCAUGUCGAGCUCAAUGAGUUAGUUAUGAUAUAUUUUUUAUAAUUUUAUUAGAAAAGAACUUCGUUCAAAUGGGCUCCUAGUAGCUGAUCAGCUGAAAAUAUGGUAUCGAAAGCCAAAUCAAAUCUUAGUGUUGAUUGAACCAGAUAAACAAUAGCUUGCAUAAGGUUUGUUGAUCUGAUCAGAUGAAAUUUCAGCAAUGAGAAGACUCAAAAUAUCAAGUAUGAGCUUCGAAAGCUGCGAAUAGAGAUUAGAUGUUUCUACUUCUGGCCACAGCAAAGAUUUCAGACACUUAGGCAAAUUCCUGUUCUGCAGGUUCAUUAUUCUUUGUCACAUACUCCACAAAAAGAAAAAGAAAAGAAUGAAAAAAAAAUACACGCGCGCACACAAACAGAACUCGAUUUUUUUGCUUACUUAAGAUGCCACCAAGUAUAUCUGUAUAUCCACAUUUAUACAGGAUUAUUGAGCACUGGAACAAAUCAACAAACAACUUUAUAGGAUGCAUUAUUUUCUUAUAAAAUGAGUAAAUACUAAACCGUAAAACUGCACGUAUAAUAAAACGAAGCAACUGUGACAAGAAAAAUGUAUGAAAAGUAUAUAACAGUAAGAGAGAGCAUAUCUUUAGAGAAUGUACUAUACAUGAGAAGAAAUAACAAAGAAAUCACCUCAAACCAUGAAUCUUUUUUUGUAUCACCGCGCACAAGAGAAGUCAGGUUAGCAACAGCUGCUUGUGGAAGCAUCAGCUUCUGGCGGCUUCUGCUUAAAGAUGUUCUUCUUGAUGCCCGACGAACCCUCGGCCAAAAGGCUUGGUGUCUCCAAGAUCUGCGGCAUAGUUAGGGAACACAGGACCAGUCGUUAGCUGAUGUACUGUGACUUAAAAAGGUCCACUGAGGAAACAUGGUGAAAAGCUGAGCCAAAAUAUGGCGAAUUCAUGUUCCCCUUGUUUUUUUUUUACUUGGGUGCAUGCUCAUCUUUGUUGCAAAAUUUACUCAGAACUCAGAAAUCAGAACGGACUAAGUUGAUGAAACGACAAAAUUCCCUCCAACAUUUAGUAUUCAUUGUUAUGGGUUGUGUCCAAGUCUGUGCAUAUGUGCUGGUGUUGGAGGUUAACUUAUGAAGAUAGCAAAGAUAGCUUUUUGUGCAAAAUUUGCUUUCAUGACGAGAGAAAUUUCAUUUCCGAUCCUGGAAUUCGUUAGACCUAAGUACUAUGACCCAAAAAAGAAAACAAAAGAAAAGAAAAGGCUAAAACGAAACCAAAAAGAGCACAUUAUUGUUGGGUCACAUCGUGGAUGUACAUAAUCGGAGAUUUUUUUUUUUCCUACUCCUUCACCUCGAACAGUAGAAAACAGUCACACAUACAACACACAAAGAAAAACAACAAAGAAAAUAAAAAGAAGCUGUACUCUAUUGUGCUUUAUAUGUUGAAUUCAAUUUGUUCAUCUUAUGAGUUUCUUUAUCUUUGGUCUUUGCUAUAUAACGAGAUGGAUGUUUAUCUGUGACUCAUGAGAUGUUUAUCCGUGACUUAAUGAACCAGUUAGUGAGAAACUGUACAGUAAAUGGCAGCCAAUCAAGUAUAACAGUGCUAGUACUUGAACAGAGAAUACCUUCAAGACGAGCUCCUCAAAGCAUUGCUCAACAUUUACUCUUGUUUUUGCGCUGCAUUCUAGAAACAGGCAACCAUAUUCCCUAGCAAAAUCAAUGCCCUCUUUCUUCGUAACAACUCUUUCACUUUCCUGUAAAGAAGACCCUUUCAGUCAAAAUACAACAGUAAAAGUGCCCAAGAAAUUACCCACAAGUUUCAAAAAGUAGGGUGGCCUAUAACAACGCCCGAGAAAUCACCAACCAAUAUGCAAGCAUUACCUUGUCAACUUUGUUGCCAACCAGCAUCUUUAUGCAGUCUUGAUUAGUUGAAUAAAGGUCGAUCUCCUUGGCCCAGACGUCAGAGAGAUUGGUAAAUGUGUCCCUCCGUGUUACGUCAUAAACUAGAACAAAAAACAAAAUUAAAAGUGAAGAUCAGAGACUGAUUUCAACUGUCGCGUUCACUUUACAUUGAACUUUCGUGAAGUCGAUUUAGUUCUAAAAGAACCUCGGAAGCACCAAUGUGAAGAGUAACUCUCGAGGCAUGAGCUAAAGAGUAAAGAUUACUACUGGUAGCGGCAUGGAAAUGAAUGCUGUAUACUUCUGUUUACAAAUAAAGAACCUAUCUUUGGGAAACCAUCCUUCCCACACCAAAUCUCGAGAAUUUGUUCGUCAGUCUAAUACCUAAAACUUGAGAAUUUGUUCGACGGGUAUCAGAUAUCAAAUCAAAAUCCUGCAACUUGACUGCUGAAUCAUCCGCUACAUUAAUUUUGUUACUGGUCUUCCUUUUCUUCCUUUCGCACGUUCAGCAAAUUAGGGCGUAUAUUCACACUUUACCUUCCCACUUCAUCACUCGCCAAUGAGAAACACUUGAAUUUGUUCUGGCAUCAACUUAGUGCACAUAUCCCGAUUCUACGGAUUGCCAAUUUCCGAAAAUUACAAUGUGUUUAACCCCAAAGUCACAUCGAUAAUAACAAUGUUUUGGACAAGGUUGGAAAUAUCACUUCUACAAUCAUGCCCAUAAUAUAUUCACCAUGAAUUCAAAACCAGUAACUUCACAGAACUUGAACAAUAGAAUGAAGGACACCACUAGAUAUAAACUGAAGACGCAAAACAAUAUGAAGAAAUUAAUUAACAGUUCGAGCAAGCUGUAUAGGAAAAUGCAUAUUAAAUUAUUAGUAGUAACAAUUUUGAAUUAUUACAGGAUGACGAGGUGAAAGAAGAAAAUUACAUACCCAUUAUAAUCCCCUGAGCUCCUCGGUAGUAUGAGCUCGUCAAAGUUCUAAACCGCUCCUGACCCGCUGCAUUACAUAUUAUCUCGUGUUAUUACCAGUUUUGGAUAAAUUGUUUACAUUUCAGGAGCAUCCUAAUAAGAUAAAAAACUCAAUGAGACCGCAUACGAUACAAAAGCGGAACAAUCACCUGUAUCCCAAAUUGCAAGCUUCAAUUUCUUUCCACCAAUAUUAACCAUUUUUACCUUGAAAUCCACACCUGAAGAAAGGGUUUUAUUUUUAAAUUAAAGGAGUAGAAUGCGAAUGUAAUAUAUUAUACAUUGCAUAACUUGAAUUACCAAAAAAUUUAGUCAAAUGUAGCCAAAUUAAUCCAGAUAAACAAGAAACAUCAAGCAAAAGCACAUUUUCUACACCACAAACACUACUUUUCACAUCAAAAAUCAAUAAAUUCUCCUCCUUUCCUUGCAAAAACUCAUCAAUCUCUACAAAACACCUCGCUAAUCCAAUCAGCAUACAUUUUUGAUCCCAAGAACGAAACAAUUAGAACAUCACAACAGACGAUCCGAGACCUCACCGAUCGUAGGAGAAAGGUCCUCGAAGGAGUCCGAGGUGAACCGUAGGAGGAGACUACUCUUCCCAACCCCAGAGUCCCCGAUCAGAAGCAGCUUGAACAAGUAAUCGAACUCGGGUUGGCUCGACGAAGCCGAAUCCAUGGAAUCAAAUCAAAACCUAACCCCAAAAAAAAAAAAAAAAACCUAAAACAAGAGGAACAAAUCAUAAAUUGGAUCCCGUAGAUCAGUUUCAACGCAAAUUGAUUCGUUGGAAACCCUAAGGGGCUAGGAAUCGUCGUACCUUGGAGGAGGAGGAGGCUGAGAUCUAGGGUUUCGAGGCGAUUUGGGGUAAAAUCGAAGGGGGCGGAAUCUCGAAAUGGGCACGAAAAGCUUCGGGAGGCAACGAAUUAUUAUUAAUUAACAAAAUAUAAAUAAAACUUUUACUUAUAUAUUCGGUCCCCAACCUCUCACAUCGGUUUUAUUCGGUCCUCAAACUUUGAAAUUUGAUACUAUAGCCCCUAAACUCUUAUUAAAGUAUCAUUUAUAUGUAUUAAGCAAUAACUUUUUUGUUUAGAAGUUGGAUCAUUAAAUUAAAAAAAAUAAACCGCAUAAAAAAUUGGUGAAAUUUGUAAUGUGGAUACAAGUAAUUAUUUUUACUCUAAAAUAAAAAUUUAAGGUAAUAUUAUUGAGAGUUGAGGGACUAAAAUAAAAUUGAAAGUUCUUGGAACGCCUCAACUAUGGUGAUUGAUUAUUGCACGUUACACCCUUUUUAAAAGAUUUAAAAUACAAGGACCGAUUUGUAAUAUCAAAGCUGACCCGCGCCCGUUGACAUUUUAACGGAUCUCCCCCCACAAAUCUCUAUUUACAUUCAACUCCCCCAGUUAUACAUUUCAUUUCUCCUGUGUACACUAAUUAGGUUUUCGAUCUCCCUCUUUCUCUAUCUCUCUCCGCGAUUCCGAUCUCGUGAGCUCUCUCUCUCUCUCUCUCUCUCUCUCUCUCUCUCCCUCCCAAUCUAUUUUCCCUUCGAUUCGUUUCUGUUGUGGUUUAUUUUUAGAUCGAAUUGUUUGCUGUAGAUUUGAUGUUUCUCUGCUAAUAAUAUGGUGAUGUUAAGUUGUUUUUGCUCAAAAUUGGUUGUGGAAUCAUGAUUUUGGGGUCAAAUUUGAGCUUGAUAUGUAGAUUGAAGGAUUACAUAGUGUUGUGAUGCGACUAAGGAGAUCAAUUCUGAUCUCAAAUAGAGGAUAUAAUUAAUCUAGCUCCAUGUGUUGUUAUUCUAGUGGAAUCAUGAAGUUUUAGAAGAGAUUCUGUGGAAAUAAGAAGCACUUCAUGUGAAACAAUCAUUUUGUCUCUAGAAUAGUACUUUUAUAUUCUAUACUUCCUGUCGCGUCUGGGCUCGAGGCAUUUUGAUGGGCUCAAUGAUAUGAACUUGAAUUAAAUGAGAAAGAAUUAAAUAAAACUAGGAGUCUGGUAAGAUGUAGACUUCAACAAAAUGGAAGAGAAUUAGCUGAAACUACGAGUCUGGCGGGAUUUGAAUUCUAGAACUUGUGUGCUGAUACCAUGUGGGUCAAUCAUUUCUCUCUGAAAACUGAAGCUCUAGAGAACCGUGUUUUAAUAUUUUUGUACUUCAUAGGUACUAUUGUGGUACUGCAUUUGUUGGUUAUAUUCUAGAACACCAUAUUAUAACAUGAAAAGUUUGAUCAUCAUGUGGAAACUUAAGCUCUAGAGAACCGUGUUUUAAUAUUUGGUAUAGGUUCUAUCAUAGUUGUACAUUUGUUGGUUGUACUCUAGAACACCAUAUUAUAACAUGAAAAGUUUGAUCAGGUGAAAACUUAAGCUCUCCAGAAUUGUGUCUUAAUAUUUUCUACUUUAUAUAGGUUCUGAUUAUACUCUAGAACACCAUAUCAUAACAUGAAAAGUUUGGUCAGGUGUAGGAGUAGAUUGGCAUGAUACAUUGGGACGAGUUAAAUUUCUGAUUAGGGAAAAUGCUAAAAAAAUUUGGUUUAUCAUUGAAUAGGUUAUACUUCAUUCACAAUUUAUCAACUAGACUUGGAAGUGACUGAAUAAGGAAUAUUUAUGUGGAUCAUUGUACAUUAAACCGAAUGGCAAUGAACAUAAGGUAAAACAGUUUCAUUUCAGAAAUUGAAAACAAGAGGGUAUUGACGCGAUUGAAACAGAACAGUCCUUGUGUUGUAUCGGCACAGGGGAUCCUAAAGUGAUUAUAACUCUCCCUUUGAUGCGAAAGCUUUACUUGAUUUAUUUACUUAACUCUUUUCAGUUCAUUCAAGCAUGUUAGUGGGUUGUGUUACUUGCGUUAUGCAACUGGUGCUUUGAGACUAGUCAUUUAAUUUUCUCUCUUUAUUCUAAUUGCAGGAACAAAGAUGUAUAUUUAUUUUUGGUCUGAAUAAGCUGAUAGAUAAAAUAUCAGAAUCAUGAGCUCUUGGUUGUGGUGUCCAAUCCCAACCAUUAACUGAAACUUCAGUCUUAUUCUUUCUAAAUUAUUGAACAAAGGUGUGGAACUUGAAAUUUAGUGAUUCCGAGGAUAUUUGAGAAAUAAAUACCAUGUCUACUUCCUAUGGUGACACAAACCUUUCUGCACGUAAAAGCAGCAGCGAGAGAAUGCAAAUGUUCAUCUCAGAUGAGCGAUUCCAUUAUAGGGCCAAUUCCUACCUUUCUGAUAUAUAUGCGCAAGCAUACUUCACCAAUUCUUCGCGAGUCCAUACGUCCCACAGAGAAGUUUCGUCAGCUCCCUAUGACUUGAUGGCUAAUACCCGAUCCUCUAUUAUUUUAAACACUCCAUAUAACUCCUGCUUCUCCUCGGCAAAACAACCUGAUUCUUCACUAAGCUCCAAUAUCUCCCACCAUAGUUCUCAGUCAGUAUUGGAUAAUCGAAGCUCUGAGCACGAAGUGGACUUCACCGAAGAUGACAUCAGGUUGAAGCUUCAAGAACUGGAGCAGGCAUUAUUGAAUGAUAAUGAUCCAGACCAAGAUAUGGGUAUUGAUGAGGAAUGGGUCGAACCUAUUAAAGAACUCUUAGUUGCAAGCUCACCAAAGGAGUCGUCGUCAGAGUCAAUCAUCUAUUGUAUCGGUAAUCGUAAAGAAGCACAAACUCCCAAGCAGCUGCUUUUCGACUGCGCGGCCGCGAUAUUGGAAGAUAGCAUAGAAGAAGCGCAAGCGAUCAUAAACGAGCUUCGGCACAUGGUCUCUAUCCAAGGGGAUCCACCUCAAAGGCUCGCGGCCUACCUUGUCGAAGGCCUCGCGGCUAGAAUAGCCUCUUCAGGACAGGGUCUAUACAAAGCAUUGAAAUGCAAAGAACCACCAACGUCUGAUCGGCUCUCGGCAAUGCAGAUACUAUUCGAAGUUUGCCCAUGUUUCAAGUUCGGGUUCAUGGCCGCCAACUACGCUAUCACCGAGGCCUUUAAAGGCGAAGAGAGAGUCCACAUAAUAGACUUUGACAUUAACCAAGGGAGCCAGUACAUAACCCUGAUACAAUCGCUUUCGACUAUGUCGAACAAUCCGCCUCACUUGAGAAUAACUGGGGUGGAUGAUCCUGAAUCAGUGCAGCGGGCGGUAGGCGGGUUGAAAAUUAUAGGGCAGCGGCUUGAGAAGCUGGCGGAGGGCUGUGGCGUUCCAUUUGAGUUUCGAGCAAUAGCAUCAAGGACUGAGGACGUGACGCCUGCGAUGCUAGAUUGCCGCCCUGGGGAGGCAUUACUAGUCAAUUUCGCGUUUCAGCUUCACCACAUGCCGGACGAGAGCGUGUCAACAGUGAACCAGAGAGACCAGCUCCUUCGCAUGGUGAAAGGCCUCGGGCCAAAACUUGUGACGGUUGUCGAGCAGGAUGUGAACACUAACACAGCACCAUUUUUUCCAAGGUUGGUCAUCUAGAAAAGGAAACCCUAUUUUCUCUAUAUUUGAAUUACUUCACUGUGCAUUUGAAGAAUCAUUCUGAAACUUACCCUUUACUUUAAACAUGAAGCUAAUGCCUAAACUUUAACAUUGUGAAUCAUAGGUUUGUGGAGGUCUACAAUUAUUAUUCGGCAGUAUUUAAUUCACUUGAUGCUGCUCUUCCACGGGAGAGUGCAGAUAGAAUGAACGUCGAGAAGCAAUGCCUCGCACGAGACAUCGUCAACAUUGUAGCUUGCGAAGGCGCCGAUCGCAUAGAGAGGUAAUUCUAUUCAACUUUCACGAAUUUCUCAAAGCUAAAAGCUUUUAAUAAAUAGGGUAAUGUGACAACACAACUAACUUUGAUAUUGACAGAUCAGAUUCAAUAAACUUUAUAUGUUCUUACUAAAAUAGAUAUGUUAAUAUCAAUUCGUGAAUGAAUGACACAACCUUAUUGUAAUGAAGGUAUGAAGCUGCGGGAAAAUGGAGAGCGCGAAUGACAAUGGCGGGGUUCGUCUCGUGCCCGUUUAACGCAAACAGUAGCGGGUCUAUAAGAUCGUUACUGAAGUCGUACUGCGACAGGUACAAGGUUAAGGAGGAAGGAGGGGCACUCUACUUCGGUUGGGAGGAUAAAACUUUGGUUGUCGCCUCGGCAUGGCAAUAACAACUUAUUGCUCUUACUUUGCCCUAAGUUUGUAUCUGUGUGUUGUGUAAAUGUUAACUAAUUUGUACUACAUCUUUUUUUGAGUGCAUGUAAAAAGUGAUUCGAUUCGUCGAAUUGAAUAGCCAAGUGAAGGAUAUAAAGAUACAGCUAUAUCCAUGUAUGUUUAUUCCACUUUUACGGAUUUGUUGGUUUUGCCCACUCUGUAUGAAAUGUUUAUAUGAAAAGUUUUUGUUGGUGAAGUGAUGCAUACAUUUUUGUUGAGUAUUUGCUACUUUGGGUUGAAUGCUAAAGGAAUUAUUGCGUAGAACUCGGUUCUUUUUUUUUUUUUUUUUCCUGUUUGACAAUAAGAGUAUAUAGAUGAGUAUAGGAUAUUAUACGACCUUACCUAAAUAUAAAGUGUCAGAUACACAAAGGUUUAAGUGCCCAUAUCCACAAGUCGUAUUUAUUGUGCCGUAUCGUGCCAACAAAAUAUCAGCACGAUAUAGCCUCUGUGUUAAUGGUACAGUUCAAAACCCUAUAUUCUUUGAAUUAGUAAGUAGUUUUUUCAAUAAAAUUUAAAAUAUUGAUAACAAUAUAUAAUAAACAAUUAUAAUAUUUUGUUGCUAAAAAAAAUAAAUAUUUCAUAUUAUUAUGUGUCAGCAUCUAUGUAUUUUUUAUGACCGGCAUGCAUCAGCCCGACUCGGCACGCACCAUGCUUACCAUGCAAGCAAGUCUCUGGCAUGAUCUUAUGCCACGAUACUUAAAUCUUUGGUUAGAUACUUUAUAAUAGAAUUGAAUUGUGAAUUUACAAAGCUUGAAUCACAAUCAAAUUAUUGCUUUUUACUGUUACAUGUUCAAUGAAAAUCUGGAUUAUAUAUAUAUAUGUACAUAAAAUUUAAUUAACAAGCGGGGAUAGCUCAGUUGGGAGAGCGUCAGACUGAAGAUCUGAAGGUCGCGUGUUCGAUCCACGCUCACCGCAUUUAAUAUUUUUCAUUCAGAUUGAAAUCACACACACACAAAAAAAAAAAAAAAAAAGACCACUAAUUUUUACUAAAUUGCAAAUGGUCCUUCCUUUGUUUGGAUAAAAAAUUCAGUAACUUACUGAGAAUUUUUUUAAACUUUUGAUUUGGUAUGAGGAAAAUCAUUAAACUCGUUAGGCAAUAUCUCAAUUUAUAUCUUGCUAAUUCCAACUGAUUAAUCAGAUAAAAAAUCACAACAAUUGCAUACAAAUUUUUCGAAAAAUUGUUCACAGUAUAUAUGUACACACACUCAAAACUCAGCUUUCAUGCUGAAAAAAAAAUUCACUGCCUCAAGAAUGAUUCAAAUCGAAUGAAGAUGUCAACGAAUGUAAAUGCAGGGACUAAAAUGAAAAAAAAAAAAAGAACAGAACCUCAAGGUAAACUGUAAUAACUGUUUAGUCUACUAUAAUUCGACCCGGAACCAAUCUUAACCCGUUUAGAGGUUUCCAAAAGCUCAACUAACGAAGGAAGAGGUCGAGGAACCGGAACAUUCAUCGAUCGAUAUAGCCUUCUCAAGCUUGGAUUAUACCCUUUCAACGACCCGUAGAAUACCAUAUCCUUUCUAAACUCGGAUUCAUCAGCAGUAAGCUCCGAAUUCCCGACACUCGACACUUGUGUGCUCUCCCCGGUUGAGCUUAAUUCUUCGACCGCAGCUGCUGUAUCUGAUGACUCCGAUUUAUUAGCUGCAACUUGUUCUACAAGUGUAACAUGCUGUGCAUGGGAUAAUUCUGUUUCUGUUUCCUCAUUCGCGAUAAAACGCUUAGAUUUCUCUUCCUGAAUAAAUGCAUUAUCGUCUUCGAGUCCAAGUCUCGCCCUUCCAAAUAAAGUAACUGACGGUUCUGCGCAACACGGUGGAGAUAACUCAAAAUUUUUGAGUUCACGAGGGCUUAUUGGUAAAUCUUUUAACUGCGACUCGUCCUGAUCGGAAAAAUCAUGAGUCUUUGGGGUUUCUUUGCUGACCGGCUUUGAUGCAGACUUUUUGACGGGGGAUAACUUGAAUAAUUUCCAAAGCGGAUCGUCGGGGGUUAAUUUGGUCUUAUAACAAUGUUUCUUAACAUAACUCAGCUCCAUAGCAAGGCAAGGUGGAGUCGUCGAGAUCACCCACUCGGGCCGGAGGAAUUGUAAGGCGCACUCUAGCUCUUCUCGGGACGAGUGCAUCGAGAAGCACACGUGCCAAACUCCGAAUUCGUCCCUCUCUGCUUCUGUCAGGUUUGGUUUUGGGUUCUGAGAAACGCUGGCUGCGUACCACUGCGCGGACGGCCGGAGAAAUAAAGGUUCUGGCUGGAGAUUAGAUUGCGCCUCUGCAAUUUUUUCGCUUGCCUUUUCGUAUAAUCGGGAGAAGCCAACCACCUGGAAAGCGAGACAUGCAACACGUGUCACAUGUUUGGCAUCGAGAGAAAUAUGAAUAGAAGUUCAGUAAUCUGCAAAAAUUCAGUCAAACGGUUAACUAAAACAUAACUGUCAGAAUAUCGAACAAGAUAUAUAGCUAAUCCAAGAUUUUUUGUGUUUUUUGUCGAGAUUCGCAUACUUGUGAAUAACUCAGAUAGCGAAUUGACGAAUCAAAACUUUGCAAAUUGUACACAAAUUUUUCAAUACAAAAAAUGAAGAAUGUUCUGCCUGUGUUCGGUACUGGCAAGAGAAGGGAAUUAACCAUAAAGAGCAUACCUGAAAGCGAGAUGAUGAAUCACACGAAAGGAUUUCAGGGGCCGCAAGAGAAAGGGCCCGAAAACACUCUGAAUUAGUUGCCUCAUCGACAAAUAUCUUCGAGCCAAAUGCUCUUGAUACUUCAGCAAGUAUCUCUUCCUGGCCAAGGAGAUCGCAGGCGAGAUAAACAACGGGCGCAUGCGGAUGCUUCCAUAUGCAACUUAUCACCUGCAGAAUACUGAAUCGCCAGUUUAAUGGGCUACGCAACUAUUUUACCUAUUCUAGCCCUAUCAUGUCUAAAUUUUCCUACAUACGCCUCUCGAGCAAGCAAUUUCUUAAGAAAGCCUUUCGACAGCGGUCAUCUGAUUGAUGGAGGAAGUUGAUUUUGUGCUAGAAAAUGUUCUUCGAAAGCAAUACUUUGGGAAAUAUAAAGGUUAUGUGAAAGAAAUCAAGUUCCUGAAGGGCAUAAAAUGAAGAUUUAUUUUUGCAGGGGAGUAAAUGUAAAUAUAUGUAGAAACCUGCUGAAUAGCUGAUUGUUUGCUCGGAAAUUUGAGCGAACAUCGACCGAACGUGCAAUCCAGAAAAAGGUAAUCAAGAGGAGAUGCGGUUUCUUUUCCUCUAUUAGCUAUGUACUUCAAAGGCAAAUUUUGCAGGCAAUCAGGAGUAAGUCGACAAUCUCCCGUAUGCAGUAUAUUUCCAAAUUCACCUUCAAACAAGAACAUGACAGCCCCUAAAAUAGAAAGCAAAUGCGAGGGGUCACUUAACUAUUGUUGCGACACCAAGAAGUGUGCAAUACUUAAAACAAGGCGAGCAUAAACAUCAUCGGCAGCGAACGAAUGCGAGUUGUUGAUAGAAGUAUCGUAAUUUGCGUCCAUUUUAAUAGCUCGGAGAAAAUUUUUUUAAAAAAAAACAUAGAUAGAUCUCUUUCUUUUCUGAUGGGUAGCAAAAAAUCAUAUAAAACCAAUCAAACUGGAUAUGAUCCGACUCAUUUGAAAUAUGCAGGAACAUAAGAUCAUAAAUUUUUUUCUCUCUAAAAUCAUUUCAACUGUGCUUUAUAAUAUUCAUUUGCCAAUUUUACUAUCAAAUGAAAAAUUGCACCUUUCGGUUCUUAGCAGUAGCUCAAUCAUGCUACAUUAGUAACAUUUGACUCAAAAAGGAACUAAACCCUAGUUAUGUUCAAUAUUUCACACUAAAUUGAAACAAAUUGGAUGAAAUUAAAACCCCCUAAAAAAAAAAAAAAACUUCAUACCUGGGCAAUGAUUCGCAUCAUAUGCGGUGACCGUAAAAUUCGCAUCCGGAUCAUCAAUUGCCACAGAAUCGCCAACCUCGAUCUCUACAAACAACGAGUCCUCGAGCUGCAAACACAAUACGAAAUUCCACAUCAAAAGAAAAACACCAAAUUUAAACCCCCUCCAAAAUUACCAAAAGUUUCCCCAAAAAAAUGGGAGGAAAGAGGGCAUUACGGCAUUAGUACCCCUACCUCAAUAUCCACAAAUACAAGCCCUCAAAAUCCCUCCAAAACACCAACUUUGACACCUUAAAACGACUAAGAACGCCAAAAAUCCCCAAAAAACCUCCAAAAUCGGCAAAAAAAAAAAAAGGAGAACAUGCUAUUAAACCAACCUCGAUCACCAAAAAAAUCCCAAAAACCCCCAAAAAAGGGCCAAAAAUCGCCCAAAAAAAGCGAGAGAAAAAAAAAAGGGAAAAAAGCGACGACGACCAGCACCUGGGGGAAGUAGUGGAGGGCUAGGGUUUUGGUGAUGCGGGAGGCGUAGACGGGGUAGGAUGCGUGGGCGGCGACCCCUGCGAGGUGAUCCCGAUGCGCGUGGGUGAGGAAAUGGUGGCGCUUCCGCUCCGAGGCGGCGCUCCACGUGUCCACCGAGAACGGUAGCCCCCUCGGCAUCUCGAUCGGCAUCUCCCCUUCCCCUCCUUAUUCAAUUAUUAGGGUUUCUUCCUCCCCCUCCUUCCUCAACAAGGAAGAAGACGAAGACGAAGACGAAGACGAAGAAGAAGCGCGGAAUCAAAACGAAUGAGAACGCGAAUUCCAGUUUCCCCCCUUUUUUUCCCCUUUUUAUAAUUUUAAUUUAAUAAAUGCGCAACGUAACCGGAGUUAACGGGUUGGGUUGGGUAGGUUUCGACCCGAACCGCUCCGAUCCGACUCGAUCAAUGUAUACCCCACAAAAAGUAGAAAAAUUAUUUUUUCACUAUGUUUUCAUUAAUUAAAAAAAAAAAAACAACAGAAACACUACUCGAGCUAAACACACUAGCGAACAAAUUAAAUCAAAACCAAAUAGUUACAUUUAAAUCCAUGCAUAAUUUUUUUUGUUUUUUUUUUUUCCGAAGGAGAAAAUAAAAAAGGGAAAAGAAAAAAAAGAUAGCAUGAUUAUUUCUUUAUCUUGUUAUGUAUAUAAACAAACAACCAGUACAUCUGUGCUAAGCUACACAUUACAAGCACAUAAAAUUUAAUUAGAAAGGCUUAAACAGAACAACCACACUCCACAUUUCUCGCGAUCUCGCCUUCGUCGCGAUCCUGAUUCGUCAUACAUUUUAUACUAAGAUUCUUAAAAGUGAAGGGUCUGGCCUCGUCGCAGCGGCAUUCGCGCGUACCAAAAACCGCGGAAAAGUUACUACUCUCUCCUGUUUACUGUUAACUUCGUCAGCUGAAUAUUCCGCGCGUAAGUUAGCACCAGAGAGUAAUAGGCGAGAUUUCUCAAAUCUGAUUAUGUCGUUGCGAUCGAUGGGGGUUGGCUUUAGUUUGUCACGGCGACGUCUUCCAUUCGAACUGAAGAUUGUUGAAACUGUUAACGGAAUCGACCCCACUCAACAUCCUGUUCCCGAUGUCCCGCUGUUGUUGAUGGUGGUGGUGGUGGUGGUGGUUGCUCCUGCCAUUUGGGUCGUGCGACAUGUGGCUCAUCCCGACCCUCCCGCCGUUCAUGGCCAUGACGUUGUUCGCCAUCGCCGCUCUUAACACGCUCGCCGUCGAGCCCGACGGGCCCAUCCCGCCGUAUCCCAUCCCUCCGUUAAUUCCCUUCAUGUCAUGGCCCAAGGAAUUCACCCCGUUAAGUUGAGAGUGCAUCAUCAUCUCUUGCAAGAUUUGCUGAACCGAGCUCUGGGAUUCAUUCGGGUCGGGUUCUUGAAUUGGGGUCGGAUGCGCCAGAGGCAUGUUACUGUUAUUCGCAUUAUGGGAAGGCGGGGCCGUGUUGUUGUUCGAUGAAGGGGUCGGCGACGGGAAAGGGGAAGUCGCGCUCGGGUUCUGGUUCGGUUGGGACGGCGGGAUCGAAUUGGAAGAGCUUGCGGAAGGUAUUUGAACUGUGUUUCCGCCUCCGCCGCCAUAAGGGCUGCUUACGCUGUUUAUAUGAUUAUCUUGCCGACCGUUCAUCGAGUUUUGGUGGAUUAAGCCGGUAAUGGUACUGGUGGAAUUAUUGGCGCUGACCGCGCCAUUGUUAUUUGCAGAAGAGAGUUGAACACCUGCUGGAUGAGGGCCGGUUUGAUUGUUUUGUGUUGCGUUUUGGGAGAUCGACGGCUGUUCUUCCGGUCGUCUGAUUGGCUGUGGAUUUAUAACGGACGAGGCGGAAGGCCGUCGUGGGAAGUUGAUUAGGCUAUCUGAAACAAUGUACACAAGCAGAAUUUAUCAAUUUCAAAUUCGGUAAAAUUUAAAAGGAUAUAUCUAGUUCUACUGCUAAAAUUUAGCAUUUGAUCAAAAUUUUCGAAAAAAAAAAGAAAGAAAAAAAGCUGGUGAUCUCAGAUUACUUUAAAAACGAAGAUAAAAUACAAAACUAUUUCAAGUACAAGUCACAAAGAUGUUGCGAGUUUUUAUGUAUCAAAUAUAAAAGAUCUUAAUGAAGCUGUAACCACAAUCUGAACAGCUUGGUGCAACCAACAGAAGCAGGGUUAAUGCAAAACUUCGAGAUCGAUCGUAAAAGGUUGUAUGAUGUCGUGACGAUAAUCCACACUCAAACUGAAACUUACAUAAGGCGAAAAGGCACAAUCUGAAUAGCCAACAAACAGAGUAUCGACAAACAAAUGGAAACACAAAAGGAGGGGGGAGAAGAAAAGGGUUUACCCAUGGGGCCACUCCUUGUUUCUCUGCUGUAAUCAAUCAGAUCCUUCAUACUAUUUACGACCUCUGAUAUCUGCAGAAUUGGAUUGUGAGCCAAAGAUAUAACUUGCUCAACACAUUUUGCUUCGUGAAAAAGUAUGGUUACAGAUGUUUAGAGAAGCACAAAAAAAAGAACAUAUAUAUAUAUAUAUAUAUAUAACCAUGAGUUACACAUCCCAGUGGACCGGCUAAUAAUCCAUUGAAUAUACUAACAACCACUAAGUUAAAAGCACAGCGUUAUGAAUAUGAGGGUAAAAAGAAAAUCAAGUUAUAACCAAAGCAAUUAACAAUCGAUGGAGCCAAAAAACAGUAGGAUAAGAAUCCUACCUGAAGGCAGCGAACAUAUCUCUUUGUGUACCCUAAAUCAUUUACCAGUGGCACCUCCAAAGACUUAGCCAAUUGACGAGCGGAUGCCACAAACCUGUUCAACAAAACAAAGAUAAAUUACCACAAUGUUUAACUUUUAAACAGAGAGAACAAGACAUUGAAUAUCAUUCAUUUAGUUACUGCAGUACUGGACAAAGGCUAACUUAAAAACCAAUGACAAAUGUUUCAUGAGAUUGAUAUUUGGUUAAUGCUUUAAACAUUAAUUAGACUUACGAAUUGCAGGUAUUUUGCAAAUCUUGAGAAAAUAAGCCUGGCGAUGCAUUUUGAGCUGCAUUCUGAUAUUUCUGCACCACAGCACCGAGCUGACUCACCUAAACAUUUUAAAAAAAAAGAAAUAAGAAUAAAUAAGAUAUCUUAGCAUUUUCUUCAAGGCCGCAUUUUGAGCAAAGACAAUAUUUAGAUGGUAAAUUGCCGCACCUGAGGAAUUAAUAAUCUUCUAGGUAUAAGCUCCUCAUGACGCCGAGCACAGAACUCCCAUGAACAAAUCUAGCCAAAAAUGGAGAACCAAAGGCAAAUGUAUAAUGAUUAGACAUUUUAUGAAAUUGGGGAGGAGAAAAAGGAUCUAGAAAAUGUACACAUAAAUAUCAAAAUUAGCAAUUUCAUGCAAAAUCUGAUAUAUAUAUAUAUAUAUAUAGAACUAUAUAUAUAUAUAUAUUUAAAAACCCUGAUUUUUCAUUGUAUCUACAAGAAUACCCCUCUCUUUAAAAAGUUUAAUCAAAUACAAGACUGACUUGAUCGGCGAAUUAGCUGACCCCACCCCAGCUUUAACAAAAAGGUAUUUUCAUUUUAAAAAAGCACUUUUGGGGAGUAUAUAAGAAAAUCAAGAUUUUUUACACUGGUAUUUAUGUGAAUAGAUGAUUUUGCUGGGAUAUAUAUGUAAAAGCCCCUAUGAUAUAUUACCUUCAAAUCAGGAGAGUAAACAAUCCGCAGUUGACCUUCUCGUACCACACGUAACUGCUCAAAAACACUCUCCUGAACCGCUUUGGCAUAAUCCAGUAUUACCUGACCGGAUGCAUUUUGAUACUCCCGUGGCAUGUCAACAUACAAAAGUUCCUCCAACGUGCCACUAGCAUACUUAAUUUGGAACAGCCUCGGCAAAACCUCGACGGUUGUUUCUAUUGUUUCCAAAUAAGGAGAAAGAAGAUAAUAAUAUCAAAAGUGGGUCUUAGGAGAAUAGAGAAGCGAGAGAUGUAGCUAACCAAACAUAAGAGAACGAAUGCUCAAAUAAAAUUUAGAAAAGGCAAGUUAGUGCACAUUUAGCAUACUUUACUUCUUUGUUUUGUUUUUCCUCAAGUUCUACAUGAUUGAAGGUAGGGACGGCCUUAUUAAGUUUGGGUUCUUUGCAAACUUUAUAUUUAUGGGUUUAGUACUAACUUUUUCCUUUUUUUUCUAGUUCGGUUCAUGAUUAACCAAACAAUAACAAGAAAAAAGAUUGUAGCCUCCUAAGCACCUUCAGUCACAUAAAUAUUGAGGAAUAUAAAAUUUAAGGAAAAAAAAAAGUGCCAAACAAAUGCAAAAUAGUUUGAUGUUCUAGAUCAAGAAGACUUCAUACCAAACCCACGACCAGGCUUACGGUUGCAUAUUUCACAGUGCCACACAUCCUGAAAAUUGUAAGGCCAUUAUUAAUCAUACCAUAACAUAAUGGCCCUCAUUCAUGAGCUCAUAUAACGGAAGAGGCUACCAAGAUCUAAAGCUAGUUGGUUGCAUGGUGACAAACUAUAUUUUCAAUCAGUAAAAGCUAAAGAGUACCUGAGGAAAAACACCAGUAGUUUGACGCCCAUUUCCGUAUAAAGAAACACACCACCUCUUUUUCGCAUGGGGAGCAAAGUACUCUGCGACAAACUUCCUCCAAAACUCUAUAUUAUUAUCCUACAAUACCAUAAAGAGGGCCUAAGCAAACAAUAUGAUAAAAUUUCUCCGCCCCCAGUAUAAACAAGAGUAAUACUCCAUGCCCUCAACAGUUCACGAGUCAGCCUUGUACACAUGGAAACUAAUAAUUGGUUUAGCGUUUUGGAAUUGAUGAACCGUCAAAAGUGUCAAGUUUGAAAUUUUAUGAAAUAGGCCAAUUAACAGCAGCCUCGUGUACAAUGCUGACUCAUAAACGAUAUUACGGGGUGACGUCUACGGUACAUGAAGGAGAAAUUUAUAAGCAACAUGCCACAACGGUAACGCAGGCAAACUUACUUCUGGUCUGUGCUGCUGGUGAUACAUGUAAUGAGUCAACCUUCGAGCACACAUUCCAGGCUCAUAACUAGGUUUAACUUGAGUUCUCGCGGGAAGACUUUGCAUUUGGUUCCGCUGCUGUGGGAGAUUCUUGAGAAUCUGCUGCUGCCGCUGCUGUUGCUGUUGCUGCAUCAGAAUCCUCUGCUGCUGCAACAGACCGAUCUGAGCCGCCGAAGAUUGCCUCGAGAUUUGCAUUAGCUGCUGCUGCUGCUGCUGCUGCUGCUGAUGCUGUUGCUGCUGCAGAGCUAACGCCGAAUCUGAAUGUUGUCGUUCCAAUUUAACAGGUCCGAGAGCUCUUACGGACUGCAUAUGCUGCGCUUCCAUCUUGACUGGAGCCAAGCCGCGUAACGACUGUAAGUGCUGCGUUAAGCCGUUGUUCUGAUCGGACGGCCCCGGGCCGGUUGGUGGUUCCAACUUGACCGGGCCCAACGGGCCCACAUUGCCCAACGCACCUCUAAUUUGCGCUUGUGGCUGGUUAAAAUUCGGCACCCCUUCGAGCUGUUGAGAAUGAGACUGGUCGGACGACGAAGUAAAACCUAGCGGACUCGACUCCAUUGGGACCGGCCCUCCAUUCGGGAACGAGUGGUUGAGGAGCGACGGUGCAUUGGGCAAGUUCAUGGUGUUGAGACUAUUACUGUUGAAUUGAGUGCUAGUGUUCGCGAAUUGCGUGCGAGGUGAGACUAAGGAAGAGAACUGUUGCUGCGAAGGGAUUGAAUUCGGAGCCGGAGAGCCCGAAGGCACCAUUUUUUUUUUUUAAUUUUUUCCUAACAAGUGGAGUGGCUCAAUAUCUGUAUACUUAUAAAAGGAAAGGUUUUGUUACAUGGGUUGUAGGAUUUUAACACUGAUGAGAGUAAGAAACUAGAAAGGAAUAAGCUUUCUCUGCAACAUAGUGUAGAUUCCAAUCCCCUCCCUGUUGCAGAAACUCUCUUUCCAAUUCUCCGAAAGAACCCUAUCCGGAUCUCAAAACAAGCCGUAAAAACUUAAUCUUUACCUAAAGAUUAAAUUUUUUUCCAAUCUCCCACCCCGCUUUUCCCUUUCCACCCCCAACCAAAACCAAACAACAAGCUAAAGAAGCACCAAAAUGGGAGAUCAAAAUGCGAACUUUUUCCCCCAAAAUAGAAACCAACCACAAAACGCACCAAGACGUAGCUCUUUUUCCACCUCACGACGCGGAAACCUGGAGUAGAAACGCAUCAAACACACUAAACAGUAAACACCAACCGAAUCCACCGAUCCGGGGCUCCGAAUCAUCAAAAACCCUAAAAUCAAGCUCAAAAAAACAAAAACAAAAACAAAAACAAAAAGAAGAAGACGAUGCGAUUGUAAUCCGCAGGAGUCGAGGGUACUUACGUGGGAGGCUCCAAAUGCGUUCCCAAUAGAGCUCGUCGAAAUGAAGAAGAAGAAGAAGAAGAAGGAGAAGAAGAAGAGAUCGUAGGGUUAGGGUUUCGUCCGGAGCUUGAAGAAGAAGAUCUCAAAUUCGUAUCCUCGAGUUUUUUUUUUUUUUUUUUUUUUUUUUUUUUUGCUCCUUUUUUUUACUUUGUUUUUUGGGGUUAAUAAAGUUUUUUAUUUAUAAUAAUAAUAAUAUUUUUUUAUUUUUUAGUUUCCAUUUCGUCUUUGCUGAGAGGGAAGUGUGUUUUGGGGUUCUUGCGGACGUCAAAGCUUCCUUAGAUUUGGUUUAGGAUUUGAUAUUUGUACUCCCCCCUUUUUCCUAGUUCUACGCUACUUUUUAGGUGAGGUGCUUUUGCAUUUUACUCCCUGAUAAUUUAUCAAUUUUGUAACCACUCCCAAGAAAUAUGUUUAAGGACCCCAUCUAGGCCAUUUUAAAAUAGACUCUUUUUUUUUAGUUGUUACUGGACACUUUUAAAAUUUAAUUUGUUUUAAUAUGAGUUAUUUUUAUUAGUUAUUUUGAUCAUUGUUAAAUCUAAUGAUAUUUUUCUUAGGUAUCAUAAACUCUGGCCCCAUAUUGGAUAAAUAUAAUUUAAAAAAUAAUUAUUGCAAAGUUAAACAUGUAAAUUUAGAUUGAUAGGUAGAAAAGUAAUUUAGGUAAGUAAUUUGGGAACGUGUUGAGUUUAUUUUCAAUACAAGAGCAAAUAAUAAUGGCCUUUUUGUAAAAAACAAAAAAAACAAAAAAAAAACAAAAAUCAUUAGUUUCUGCGUUUUUGCAAAACUAGACUAUCUUUUUAUUUUUAUAAAUUUGUGUUAAUUUUUUUUUUAAACUGACCAAAAUAUUCCUGUACCUUAAACAUCUCAUCUCUUUUUCUUUGUCUACCUCCUCAUGGGUCCAUAUCUCUACCGCCAGUGGCAGUCUAGAGCGCUCAUCCUACCUUCGCUGCCUCCAUACCAAUCCUCCAUUACGUCGACGUCGUGGUGUUGCUCACAAGCGAGAAUAAGAAGGUGAACUUGACAUGCUCAUCGCCGUGACCGUUCAGAGCUAUGUCGGAAAUGAAAAAUACGGCGGCAAAGAAGGAGGGAGACGAUCGUUAGUCAGGAUGUAUCCAAAGCACGUUCGCGACACGAAGCAUGACCGAUUACAAUGAGAUAGUGACGGUAAUAGGAAAGAAAAAUCUAGCAGAUAAUGUGGUAUUGCACUAUUUAAGAAAAUAGAUUAUUUAAAUAUAUAUUGCAUUAUUUAGUAAUAAAAUCGAACAAUUUUAUAGUUUAUUAUCUGUGUCAAAAUGCAAUAUAUAUUGAAAUAAUGCAACUUUUUUAAAAUACUGAAACAUCACGUCGUCCGCAAUAUUUUUCUUCUCUCACUACCGUCAUUCUCAACAAACGAUCAUCGCUCUCCUCCUCCCUCACCUCCGUCUUUAUCUCCGACGACACUACGAUCAGUGCCACCAUCUUUUUUAUCGCGAUGAUCACAUUGGAGAACGCUAAAAACAGCUAUGGUCAAAAAUGAGCCAAGCUUCGUCAUCAUCCUCUCUAUUUGCGGGUGAGAUAAAGAAGAAGUGCGAAAGAAAAGUGGGGCGAUGGAAGAGAAGUGUGAGACAACGGAAGAAGAAAAAAACAAUGAGGGAGAAAGAAAUAGUAGAAAUAUUUUGAUUAGUUAAAAAAAAAAUCGUAUGAAUUUGCAAAAACUAAAAAAUGGCCCACUUUUAUAAAAUUUCAAAAUUAGUAAAUUUUCUAUAUAAAAUGACCAAUAAUAAUAAUAGUCUUAAUGGUAAACUUUAAUUUAUUCAUUUGUGAUUCAAAAAGUUAUAUCUAAACAUUUUAUAAUUUUAAUUUUAGUUGACAGUAAGAAUCUACUAUCAAAUAUCAAAAUAAUAUUUUUUACAAACUUUUAGAUGAUAAAGUAUAAAUUAUAAAAUAAUAAUAUGCUAUAUUAUAUUGCAUUAUAAUUCAUAAAAAAUAUUAUUUUAAUAUUUUAUUUAGCUGUAUGUCCUCACAAUAAAAAAAAUUAAUACUCUAUAAUAGUUUAGUGUGAUAUUUAAAUUACAAAUAAAAAGGCUAAAUUACAGAAAAUUCUACUGUAAAUAUUCGUUUUUUUACUUUUUUUUCAUGACUUUAAAAAACUCAAUUUUGCCCCUUAAAAUUUUAGAAAUAUUUUUAGGGAGUACCGCAUUAAUGGAGAGGGUAAAAUGAUCAAUUUGCCCUCACUACUUCUAUAAAAAAAUAUAUAUUUUUAUGUAUUUUUAUUUUAAAAAGCAUUUUCGGUAUAAAUUAUAAAAAUAAACGGAAUAUUGGGGGAGUAAAGUAUAGAUUUUUUAAAAUUAGAAAGGAAUAAAAAAGAUAUUUAUAAGGGAGUUUUCUAUAAUUUAGCAAAAUAAAAAAGUAAAAAUGCGCCUUAGCAUAGUUCCAAUUGCUGUACUUGGGUCUCUUCGUGAGGUUACCAUUGUAGCUGUUAAAAUUAAAUAUAUCAAAUCAAAUACCGAAUUUGUAUUUAUAUAUAGUUACAACUGCAAUACAAUUAUAACUACAUGCAACCAAACGGUCCCUAAACUGCACAAGGCAAAUUUCGAAAAUACCACAAAAAAACUGCACAAAUUGGUGUAUCACUUAUUAAAUAGUUGAUUAGUUGUGGGAGCAAUACGCAAAAUGACCAAUUUACCGGCUAUUGCCGGUAAAUGCGAUAAUGCGAUGAUGUGUGGAGUGAAAAUAUCCCCCUCUCUCUCUCUCUCUGCGCUCAAAACGAGUCAAAAAAUCUCUUCUCUACCAUCCCCAUCCAUCCCACCAUCAUCAUCAUCAUCAUCAUCAUCAUCAUCGCAACGCAUGGAAUUUCAGGGUUUAUUACGCUGACAUGUGGAGCCCACAGGAGCUAAGAACUUGCAUGCACCCGGUGCACCGUGCACUCCUGGGAAUUAACACGUGUUCUUGGCUAAAUAAAUAGAUUAGGGGCUGUUUGGUUCCUUGUAAAACUACAGGAAAAAAAUUUUCGGUAGAAAAAAAUUUUUGGAGGAAAAUAAAUUUUACGGUUUAGUGUUUGGUUUGUAGUAAACGAAAAGUAGUUUUUCAUUACGGUUGUUUGGUUGAAAGGAAAAAAAAGAAAAAGAAGAAAAAAAAUUAGUUACAAAUAAAAAAUUAUUAUUAUAUAUAUAUAUAUUUAUUUAUUUUAUAUAAAUAAAAUAUUAUAUAUAUAUAUAUAUAUUAUAUAUAUAAAAAUGGGGCAGAGAAAGAGGUCCAUCAUGGACCUCUCUUCACACGGUCCACAAGCGGACCUCGUGGACCGCAUUUUUUUUUUCCCGUGUCGUGCGCAACGCCGCGCGAGGUCCAUCAUGGACCUCUCCUCACAUAGUCCACGAGGUGGAGUAGACCUCGUGGACCGCGCCCAUUCUUCUCCCGCGCGGCGUGCGCAACGCCGCGCGUUUUCGUUUUCCGCUCCAUUCGAGCGGAAAAUGAAAACCCUUGUUUUUUCUAAGACUCCGUAAAAAAAUUUUCCGGAAAAUUUUUUUUACGAGCCACCAAACACCGAAAUUUCACUUUUCACCUGAAAAAAAAUUUUUCGGAGUGAUUUUACGAGGAACCAAACACACUUUUAGGAAAAACUCUUGCGUUAAAAAUUACCUCAAUUAUAUCUACACAUUUUGUUAUUAUCUUAGAUAGCUUAGGUAUGGGGGAUAAUUAUUGAAUUCGAUUAUAAAUUUUAUAAAAUAAUAUAAUAAUAUAAUAAUUGCUCAAAAAAAUUUAUUUUUGCUAGCGUUAGUAAAAUAUGAGAUAUGUUUUAUCCAACUUUUUAUCUAUUUUUGAACUGUAAAUUAAAUAAAUGUUGAGAUAUGGAACAAAGUAAUAAGCUAGCUUAUUUUAGUAAAAUUUUAUAAUCCAAUUUACUUAUUUUUAAUUUUUUCGAUUGAUUUAAAAUGAUGGUAAAGUAUAUGAUAAUAAUUAACAUAAUUUCAAUAUAGGAAGGUAAUUGAGAUAGAUUCUUAGAUCUAUUUGAUUCCUAGUUAUUGGAUUUAUUUUUUUACACAAAUUAAUAAGCUUUUUUUCAUAUUUAAAUUAUUUCAUAUAUUGUAGAUUGUAUAGAGUAAAUUAAUUUGAAUUUUACAAUAAUAUUUAUUUAGCAAUAAAAUUGCGGUUCAUGUGAUGUACGGAUACACCGGGUGCACGCGCAGCUAUUUCUCCGCAACACCGCCCAUGGAGCACAUCGUAUGUAAGCGUGACAUGAACCGGUUACACGGAACAGCACCUCCCAUCCAUCCAUGUCCAUCCUCGCCAUGGCAUGCAGGCAUGCCAUGGCAUGGCAUCCAUUUUGUGGGCCCCAACUCCGACACAGGAGAAGUGGGUCCCACGGAAUUAGACCCCUUUUCUUUUUCACUUAAUUUUGGACGAGAUUACCCCCGAGGUCUCCCCCAUAAUUACGAUCUUGUGAAAUCCAUCAGCAGCGCGAAUCUCAAGGCAGGAACUUUUUUUUAGGGAUGCAAAUGGAUUCGCGCUGGUAGAGCUUCUGUAUUGGGCCGUAAUGAAAAACAAAAAAUAUAAAAAAAUAUAUAAUGCAUUCUAAUUCGUCAAAUUUUUUUUUUUUUAUCCGUCCUAAUUUGUCAAAGAUCCGCUACUGCUCCGAUCCGUCCCGAACAAAAUGAUAAAUGGAAAUAAAAAAUAUGACUAAAAUUAACUCGGCCCGAAUCCGUCUCCGACAAGAAACGGAGUGGAUAAUGAAGGACUCAUCUCGCCCUCGGAUUCGUUCAGUUUGCAUUUCUAUACUCUAUAAACUAAAAAUACUUAUAUUUUACCUCAUCAUGUUUGUGAAUUAAAUUAUUAUUUUCAUAUGGAAUAAAUUUUUUUUGAGAAAUAGAUAGCAAGCUACCUGCUUCAUUCAUUGAGAUAAAUGAACUGAGCAUACAUGUGGAAAGCAACUAGAGCUUUCGAAGAACAGGCAAACAAGGUACAAAACAAGCAAAAGAAGGGGGUGGAGGGGGGAAGAGAAGAAGUAAAGAAUGGAAGAAGAAAAGAGGAGAGGGUCGCUUUAAAGCACUGCUGAUCAACUACUCUUAAGCAAUUUGACGCACUCUAGCGACCGAGAAGCAUUAGGUACCAAUCCACGAAAGAUGUAGUUAUUCCUGUCCCUCUAGACCACCCACCAGAUCGUUGCCAGAUAAGUCAAACAAAGUGUCCUCUUCGACUUGACGGGGUUGGCUGACGCUCCAAUCCAGAGAUUUCGAACAUCACCCAUGGUGAGCUCAGGUGUCUCCAGUUCGUCGACACAGAGGAGUAGGAAUCUGAACAAAACGCAGUUACAAAAGAGAUGGUCGCAGUUUUCCGCUUGUACCGCACAGAAGACGCAUUGUGGGUCCAAAGGCAUGCCUCGUUUGAGCAGUCUGUCAGCGGUAGAUAGUCCUUUUCCGAAGUAACAACCAAAUGAAGACUUUAAUAUGGAAUAAAUUGAUGCCAAUAUUCAGGUCGUAUGCUAUGUCUAUUUUUUUUAUGACUCAUAUUUUUAAAAUUAAAUUUUAGUUUGAUAGAUAUAAUCUGCACCAUCUAGAUAAUGUAUAAAAAUUUCGCUGUUUGAAAUUUAAGUCAAGUUUUAUAUUUGGUUCUCAAACUUUUGAUUUUGACAUUUAGAACUUUUAAUAACAUUUUAAUUUAGUCUUCAAACUUUCAAUAGCGUUUCGUUUCAAUCCUUAGCUCGGAUUAAAAAUUAUUAUGUGUACCUAGCAUAACAUUUCUCAUAAUAAUAUACAAUCAAAAUAUUAAUUAAUAAAAGAGGAAAACUACAUUCACGCUAAUUAUAUUUGUUCUCUCAACCGUUUUCUGAACUUGCGGGAUGAAAAUGAAACGUGUAGUGAGAAAAUAUGAUGAAAAAUAUUUUUUUCUUAUUUUUGUGAGUGAUAAAUGGUUGUGUAGAUCACAUACCACCUUAUACAUGCAUAUAAUUAACAAAGCUUUUAUAUAAUUGGGUGGAUUACAAUUCACAAACUAUAUAUCUUCUUAGUAGUGCAUAAAUAGAAAGGUAAUGAAGAGAGAGAAACAAAGAGCAUGUAGAGAGAGAGAGAGUACAAACAAAACAACACUAAUGCAUAUAACCUAAUAAAAAUGCACCAUUCUCUCUCUCUCUCUCUAGACUUGGUGGUCUAUUUGGUGGUGCACUUGCAUGUUGAUCUUCUCCAUAGGCUUGGUGUUGGUGGUUUUAGCGGAUUUGGAUUCCUCCAUCUCGAUAGAGUCGUCUUUUGUGGUGUCGCGCCCUUUGCGGUCUCUGUAGAUCAUGUAGAGGAUCAGUUGCAGUGCACCGAGAAAGCUCCCGCACCCGUUAGGCACCUGAAAUAGAAAGAAAGAAAUGAAUUAACACUCUCUUAAACUCCGAGCCUAAUGUCAAAUAUAAACUAGCUUUAUGAUCUUAAUCUGUAGCUAGUUAUAAAUUCAAAACAAGCGAAAUGAAAUGUUAUAAGAGUUUGAGUUUGGUUACCGUAACGAAGGGAUCGCGACCGAGUAGGCCAUAGAUGAACCAUGAUGUGCCACACAAGAACACAAACAAUGAGAGGAAAAAGGGCAUGAACUCCACACUCUUGGUUUUAAUCACCAAUCUCUGCAAAUAAAGUUCCUUGAUGAUGUUGUUGAAAAAUAAAAACAGCAAUUGCUUACGUAUUCUUGAAAAGUUUCAGACUUUCUUAUCUAUUCUGCAUAGAAGACUAAUAUAUAUAUAUAAAAAAAAACUCUUUUAAUGUUUCAAUUUUUUCAAAUAUCCGCUUAGAGUUAGAUUCGGUUAGUGAAUAGUUAGGAACAACUGUUAUCUAUGUGAAAUUACCAUUUUACCCUUUCGAACGUAUUCUUCUGCCGUCACUAACUUUUUUUAUUUGUCCUUAAAUUAGGAACAAAAGAGGUAUUUUGAUUUUUUUUUUUUUUUUUACUCGGAUAGAAAUUUAAUCCGGGUUUAAUCUAGAAUGACUUAACGGAUACUAACAGUGGGGUUAUUUUUAAAUAAUGAAAAAAUAUAUGAGCGUGUUUGAAACCAAAAAAAAAAGAGGAAUGUAUGGAGUAUUUCAAAAAUUUUGAAGAGUAUUCAGGGUAAUUACCCCAAAAUAAAAAGAGCAUGAUACUACACCAAUAUAUAUUGUUGUGUGGAACUAGACUACUAUGCUAUUAAUAGCACCAAGUUAUUAGUGUUAUUAGAUUUUUGACCCUUAAAUAAAAGGAUAUGCGGUUAGGAUGGUAGUGAUCCCCUAAAGUUGAAGAGAUGAAAAUGGUCAAAAGGAUCAGAUCUAGCUAACGCCGAAAAACUCGAUAGCGCCAAGCGCUUAGUGCUAUCGAUAGUAUAUAUAGUAGCCAGACCCUUAUCGUACGUACUUUCAUAUUCUAGAAAUUUAUAUAUAUCUUACAACUCAUAGGAACAACGGUGAGAUAGGGUAAAAAAAUGUUACCAUGAUGGAUAGCGGAGAAGCAUACAUGCAGAUGGAGAAGAUCGUCGCAGCGGAGCCGCAGAAGAGCUUACGAGACUGCCCGUGGAGGGCGAGCAGCGAGAUCAGGACGACGGCCGCGAAGAUGGAGCUGACAAUCAUGAGAAGGCCCAGCAUCUUCAUCCUAACUUUGCUCGUCGACGCGUAAGUUAGGAAUAUGAUCACGUAAACCAGCUCAAUGGCCGUGCCAGCGCCGUUGAUCGUCGACACCAGUAGGUUGUUCGGCGAGACGAAUGGCAUGCCGUACCUUCAUGUAAGAAAAAAUUAAUGAUCAUCAAAAUUAAAAGCUAUGAAAAUAAGAGAUUAGACAUAUCUAUCAAAUUAGAAAAAUUUGAAGCGUAAAGAGUAUCGAAUUUAAAUUUCAAAUUUUCUUGGCCCAUUUGAUGAGGGCCCAAACAUCAUUGUCUAGGCCCAUGAGAUUUCAUAGUCAAUAAUAAUUAAUAGAAAAUGUGAUAAUUAAUAGCUUAUUUAUUGGGAUGCAAAUAAUUGUUUAAUUAUUGAGGUGAAGCUUUUCAAUUAGUUGCAAUGAACCAAAUCCUCAUUUUGUAUGAUUGAUGCUUAAAGCUAAAAUAUUUAAUGAGAUUUUUGAACCCAAAAUUUAAUUUUUUUUAAUAAAAUUUUGCCUUUUUACUAUAGUAAAAACUAUUAAUUAGUCCUCACUCUUUGAAUGAUGGAAAGAGUUUAAUGUAACCCACAAAAAAGUACCCCCAUUAUUCCACAUUUGAAAUAAAGAGUACACAAUUAAUCAAUUGCACUAUAUUCCUCUAAGAUUUGAAUUUAGGGUACAAUUUUAGAAAAAAACUUUUUUCUUUUUCUUUAAGUGAUCAAACUAUCGUAGUUUAAGUGGCAGAAGAAUUCAGCGGGAAUCGCGAUCUUUAAGAUAUAUAUUUUCUACGCAUUUAAUUUGGACAGCCUAAAUUCAUUUCGCCACACGCAAUGACCUUUUUGCGCAGGCAAACUCCGCACGUGGGGCUGCAGAAAACCUAAUCAGAAUCCUCAUAAGAUGUAAAACCUUCAUAACCUACAAAUGAUCGGAUUUUUAAAUAAAACUUCUGAAAAAGUAAUUUGAAUGAGAAGUGUACAUCAUUCUUCGCCGUUGAGCUCCGAAUGUAGGAUGAGUCACAUGGCUCACCAAACUUACUCCGCGAUAUCUCGUUGAGGAGCUCAUCAACAAAAUCGCAUUUAAACUUCUUAUAUAUAUAUAUAUAUAUAUAUAUAUAUAUAUAUAACUCAAUAAUGAGGGAAUAAUUCAUCAAUCACACCAAGUUAAAUGCUUCACCUUCUAUCAUCAUCAACAUAAUAUUAUAGAUGGAACGUUCACGACUCUGUUACACGUUUUUGGCACGCUUAACACACACGUGUUGGGCGCGUCCACAAUAGUGUGAUUCCCCUUUUCACAAGCAACAACACAUUGUUUUGGCCCUUUUGGUCCCAACCAGUGCACAUAUGUACUACCUUUGCUAUUUUUGGUCCCCAUUAAAGAGGAAAUGAUUCAGCUGUGGACCUCUUUGAGCCUUUGCUUGGUUGGUUGCGCACAUGGUUUUGUAUUUUUUUGUUCAGAAGUUUAUAAAUUACUAAAUUACAAAAAAAUUUCUUAUAAGUACUCGUUUUUUCACCUUUUCUCUCUAAUUUUUAAAAAUCUAUAUUUUAUUCACUCAACAUUUCAAGUUAUUGCAUUUAGUUUCUCUCCGUCAGGGUUUUAUCACUAUUCUGCCCAUUUCUUAUAAAAUUUAUAUCGAAAAUGUCAUUCAAGAUGACAGAAAUAUAUUAAAAAUUAUUUAUUCUUUAUAAAAGAAGUAAUUAAUGGCAAUUUGGUUAUUUGCCCUCUCCAUUAACGCCGUACUCCCCUGAAAAUAUUUCUGAAAUUAUAAGAGAGCAAAAUAUAAGUUUUUAAGCGAGUAUUUACAUAAGAUUUUUUAUAAUUUAGUCAUUUGUAAAAAUGUUUAGGUAAAGGCAGUACUAAUAAAUUAAUUUGUUCGGUCCUUAUUUUUAUCAUAUAUCUUGUUAUUCAAAGAAACGGUUCAGAAUUAGUCUUAACACCCCUCUACUUACAUGCAUGAUAAAUAUCAGGUGAAUGGUGUCUUGUACAUCGACUGAAGACGUAACAGGAAGAGACAGCGGAAUCGUAAAACAAAAAUAUUUAGCAGAUAUAGAAACCAAACAUAGAGGUAGGAACCAAGCUAUGAUAAUACAUAUGUUAAUACAAAAGCUUAAACUAUCAGAUGGAAAAGUUCUUUUCAUUAUAUACAGUCCAGGAUUCUUAACAGUAUAAACCAAUGGUAAAAACGUAGAUAACUUAUAUGAACUAUAAAUCAUUUUGAAUUGGCAACUUAAUCUUUUAAAAUUUAAAUUUCACCACCCAAUAUUUCAACUUGUUUGAUUUGAGUCAGGCAACGACACUUCAACUUCAGAAUUUGAAUAUGUCGUUUUUCUUUACAUGUUUAAAGUUAAAGUAUUAUUGACCAGUUCAAAUCAAACAAAUUGAAAGAUCAAAUAGUAAAAUUAAAAUUUUAUAGUCAAUUCAAAAUGAUCCAUAAUUCAAAUAUAUAUAUAUAUAUAUAUUCAAAACUUAGAGGGUUUAAAAUAGUCUUAGUAGUGUACACACACCAUCAAGGGGAACUUGGUCACUUAUUUUUCAGAUAUAUUUUCAAAAUUUUAAAUUUCAGUAGCAUGAUGAGCUCUAUACUUUUUUUUUAUCUUUUCGCUAGUUUGAAAUUCAAAUAGAACAUCAAAUUGAUUUAAAAUUUCACGUACCAAGCAGAGAGGAGGCAAUUGAGAAGGGUCAUGUUGUACGGCACGCCGGAGAAAUCCUCCGUCGAUUUGUUCUUUUGGAUCCUCCGAAACGUGAGACUGAUAAAAUAAUAAUAAUAAUAAUAAUAAAUAAAUAAAUAAAUAAAACUUUACAAGCAUGUUAAAAUUGUUGUAACACGGAGUCAGAGAAAUCUAGAGAAAGAAACAUUUAAAUUAGAAUAUUUACGUGAAAAACUCUUUAUCGCGACACAGAAACUAAAUCAUAUCAUAAAAAAUAGUAUUAUAUAUAUAUAUGUAUAGUACUUACAUGGGAGAUAAAAAUAGAAAUAAAGCAGUGACAUUUCCUGCAUAAAGUGAGAGAAAGAGAACAAUUAGCAUAAUUAUUAUCAAACUAAAGAGAGGAGUGGAGAGGGAGAAGAGGUAAAAAAAUGAUUGGAGAAAAAAAAAAAAAAAAAACAAGAGGAGAGAGAAAGAGAAGAAGCACUUCUCACCAAAAAUUCCAAACAAGAAAUGUAACACAUGCACCACAUCCAUGUCACUCGUGCUUCUCCCAAAAGCUAUAUAGCCAACAAAUUAAUUAAGCCCUAAAGAUGAGCUCUAAAAGCUCUAAGAAGAAGCUGUGCUUUUUUCCCUUCUCUUUUUUUUUUUUUUUUUUGCCUUGGUGAUAAGCAACAAAAGAGAGAGAGAGAGAGAGAGAGAGAGAGAGAGAGUUAUAUGAGUAUAUGUGUGUAUGUAUGGUUUUUAUGUGAGAAUUGGUUUGUACAUUUAUAGGGGAGAGCUUUAGCAUGCUAUUGAAUUCGAUCUUAUCCAAUGAUCUCAGUAAAAAAAAAAAAAGUUUUAAGGGAUUUGUGUUUUGAUGUGCAUGUUUUCGAGUUGUAUUUACUCUUGAGUAUGCUCCUUUUAACUCUUUUUCUGAUACGUUACCAUCACUAUCUAGUACAGUUAAUUUUAAAAGUUAAUUGCAUACAGGUCCCCACAAGUCCUAAUAUUUUUAGAUAUUUCCAUUUGGUUUGUUACCAUUAGAGAACCGUUAGAAAACUGUUUAUAUUUUCAAAUUUUCCAUCAUAAAUAUGUCAUUCCAAAAAUUAUAACAGUAUAAUAUAAGAGGGGUAAAAAUAUCAAAAAUUAACUUGAGUAAAGUAAUUUACCUAUGGUUAAUUAAACUUUUCUAACGAAUUUUAACGGUAUGAACAUAUCUGAAAAUAUUAGAAAUUUUGUAUGGAUAAUUUAUGAAAGUUAAAUUUUAUAGAAAUAUAUCUGCAGCUCACUAUGUUUAUAGGGACCUGUACGCAAUUGAUCCUAAUUUUAAUAUCCUUGUCCCCAAAUAAAAGAUCUGAGGUUGGAUUUUUCACGUGCAUGAUCAGCUUUAUCAGAAUGGGCAUUUUAGUCUCUAACUUUUCGAGAGAAAAAUAUAUGGGUUACUUAACAAAAAUAAAUUAAAAAAUUUAAAAGGAACCUUUUUCUGCUAGGUUUGAAUUUUUAUGGAGAUCUAAGAAAAGGUCAUUUUGAAAUUAUUAUCAAGAACUUUUGGCUAUUUAAAUUUAAGUUAAAAUUUAACUGAAGAAUGGUCAAAAUUGUCGUUUUUGUUACGUAUCGCGCGACUAUUAACAAUUGAAAAGUAUAUAUUCAGAAUAGUUAAUUUUUUAUAGAAUCUAUAAUUAAACACAUUUUCUUUUCAUUUAAGCAAUAAAGAUGAGUUAGAUUGGAAAAAUCAAAAGCUAAUUAUAAAACUAUUUAUCAAUAGUCAAAAAAUUUAUUACAAAUGUGUUGAAGUCCAUGUACUCUUUUGACCUUUAUGCUUUUUGUGUUUGCCUUUAAUUUUUCCUAUUGUGAAAGCUCUCCUAGUUAUUUUUCACGAGGGAUAAUUAAUGCCUUUGUUUUAUUUUUUCUUAUUUUUUUUAUUUAAUUUUGGUAAAUACAUACAGAAUUUAUCUAAAUUAUAAGCUAUUUUGAGUCGACUAUUCAACAUUUCAAAAUUUUAAUUUUACUAUCUGAUUUUUUAAUUUUUUAAUUUGAGUCAGUCACUGAUAUUGACUUUAAAAUUUAAAUGCGUUGCUUAUUUUUUUAGAUUGAAUUAGUAUCCUUCAUGCAAUUCUCACAACUAUAAAUUUAUUAACAUAAAUAAUUAAUUUAAAUUUUAAAUUGUUGAAUAAGACAAAUCAAAUAAAUUAAAAUAUUUGAUAGUAAAAUUAAAUUUAUAAAAAGUUAGCAGCCGACUCAAAAUGAUUUACAGUUCAGAUAAGUUUAUCAUUUUUUAAAAUAUUUAUUUUUUUUAGAGAGGGUGUGAUAUAGGGAUGUCAAUAAUGGAUAUGAAAAUCCAAAAUUUUAUCUAAAUCCAAACCCAAAUGAAGUGAAUUUAUCCGUUACUAAAUGGAUAUACUUUCGGAUAUGAAUAUAAAAAAUGAAAAUCCAACGAAUUUGGAUUCGGGUAUAUAUUUUGAUUAUACCCGACCCGAAACCAAACCCGAAUCCGACCCCGACCCUGACCCCGACCUCGAAAUUAUUUUACAUUAUAUUUUAUAUAUAUAAAUAUUUGAUAUUAUAUUUAAAUUUAUAUUUUAAUAAUUCAAAUUUAAUAUAAUACUAGUGUAGACAUCCGCACAUAGUUGCGGGUUGAUUUCGAAUAAAUAAAUAAAUAAAUAAAAUUAAAGAAAAAAGGCAAAAAAAAAGAGUCAAAAAAUUUAAAAAAAUUAAAAAAAAACAAUAGCUGCUGCAGUAAAAGAAUAAAAAUAAAAAUAUGAGAAAAAUAUAAAAAGUAAGAAAAAAUUAUAAAAAUAAUAAAUUAUAUUUAUAACAGUAGUAAAAAUUGAGGACUAACAUGUCAUGUGCAAGCCUGAAAUUUCGCAAAAACAUGUCAUGUGCUUCAUUGUGCAAGUUAGAAAUUGCGACUUAUUAAAGUUUAUGGAUUAAAGUGUAACGUGUCUCAUAGUUUGAUCCAGAAAUUAUAAUGCAUUAAAGUUCGAGGUUGGUCUAGAGUGUCACGUGUCUUAUAGUUUGAGAACCAAAAUUAUAAUUUAUCUUUUAUAUAUAUAUAUAUAUACAUUCGACAAAAUAAUCUACUAAACUAUCUAAUAAAUUUUAGAAUGUCUAAUUGUUAAAAUUAAAAGUUAACUAAUCAUUGUUUAGGUAUUCUAGAAUAUUUAAAUGUGACGUUGGACUACUUAUCAGACUACAAAUAUGGCAUUGAAGUUUGAUAUUAGAAUCAAACUAAAAACGCAUUGAAUUUUCUUGAACUAUGAAUCAUUUUGAAUUAGCUAUCUAACCUUUCAAAAAAAAAAAUCUCUAUCCAACAUUUUAAUAUGUAGUUUUGAGUCGAUCAAUAGUACCUAUCUCUCACAUUUCUAAAUGAAGUAAACGAAGCAGGUAGCGUGCUACCUAUCUCUCAAAAAAAAAAAAAAAUAUUUAGAUUUGAGUCGAUCAAUAGUACUUUGACUUUAAAACAAUUAAUUAAUUAAUUUUAGUAUAUUUCGUACAACUCUCACAAUUAAAUUUAUUAAAAUAAGUAAUUAAUUUAAACCCCAUCAAUCCUUCUUUUGAUCAAUAUUAUAAAACCAAAAUUUAUAUUUAAUGCACGCAAUCUAAAUUAUUUAAAAAAUUAUCUAUAAAAUUUUUAUAAUAAAAA
rnacentral:lncRNA from 1 species